UUUUAGUAUUUUGUAAUGAUUUUUUUAGUAUAUAGUUUUAAAAUAUAAAUUCAAAUGACUAAAAAUAAAAAUUGAUUUAUGACAGUCAAGAAUUAUCAUAAAAUAUUAAUUUAUUAUGCUAGAGAUUAAAGUGAAUAAUUUAUCAAAAUUUAAGAAAAAAAUAGUUUUAAAUUUUAAGGACUAAAAAAGUACACAUAUAAUUUAAUAAUUAAAACAGUAAUUAAGUUUAUAAAAAUACAAUUUUCUUGAUCAAAUAUAAGAAAAUAUUAACUAAUUUUAUCUUAUUUAAUGUUAUUAUAUCUAAAAUAUCUUUCAAUUUAAUUGAUAUAUUAAUUUUAAUGACUUUUCCUAUCCCUAAUAUCAAAUUAUAAUAAAGGGUUAAAAAAUUAUUUUUUUAAUUAAAAUUAAUACAAUUAAAUGUGAUUAAAUAAUUUUUUUAAUUAACCUAUCAUGUUUUCUUAUAAGUUUUAAAAUUAUUUUGAAUUACUAGUGAAACCCACUCUUAUUUCUUUACCUUGUAUCCUUCGACCUUCUCGUACCUUACUUAAGUUAUCAUGGUAAUAAUAAUAUAAUAAUAAAGAUAAUAUUACCAUAAUAGUAUUUUACACAUAAUAAUAAUAUCAUCAUAUUAUAAGAUUCAUGACUUUGAAGCCUAUUAAAAUAAUAAUAAUAAUAAGAUUCUGAAUGUAAAGUUUAAUUCUAUUAUUAUUAUUCUCAUUUUAAUAUAUUAAGUGGUAUCUGAGUUGACCUUUGGACAAAGAUUUGAUACAGAAAAGAAAAUUACAACCAUACCCUCUGUCUCGUACUGCCGUCCAAAUUCGUCAAUGGAAAUGUAAUUAAGGAGAGCUUAAUCAACGGACACUGAAAUUACAACGUUAGCUGGCAAAUGACUUGUCUUCUAGCUUCUAAAAACUUUGUCGGUGCAAAUAAAUUCAAUCAAUCUAAACCUUCUCGAAAUUUAAAUUCUUUACGAAUAAACCAAUUGACUUUGGUACUACGAUCAAAUGAAUGACGAUUAACACUAUUAACAUACUUUUAACACACAGUUUAAUUUGUUUUCUAUUUUUAUAUAAAAUAUGAAGAAUAAAAAAUAUAUUGAAAUUAUAUUUUCCAUAUUUGGAAAAAAAUUAAAUAAUUAACAUUUUUUUCUAAACUGAUUUAAAACAAUUGAAAACGAUGAAUUAUUAUUAAAAUGUUUUGUAAUUAUAUUACACUUUUAUAUUUUAAUAUAAUGAACAAUUUUUAAUAAAAAUAUUAAUUUUAAAUGCCUAAAAUAAGCCCUGACGUUUAGCAUCAAAAUAACUAAAUAUAUAUUUCAAUGAGUUUAAUAUCUGUAUUACUAUUAGUAUAAAAAAUAUAUACUAUAAACUAAUAUCAACCAUUAUUAAUAUAAUUUCUAAGUUAAUUAUCAUAAAAUGUUAACAAACAUAUUAUAAAUAGUAUUUUGUGAUUAAAUAGUAAUAUAUAAAUUUAAAUAAGUUUUUAGUAUCUAUAAAAUAAGUAACUUUUAAUUUUUAGAUUCUAUAAAAUAUUUUCUUGAAUUUUAAAUCUCUAAAAAUUAAAAUUGUUGCUUUUGGUCCUUGUAAAAUAAGUGAACCGAUUUUUUACUUUGAACAUUUUUUUUAAAGCACUUUAGAAAUCGGUUCUGAUUCCUAAACUAGUUUUUUUUUUUUAAGAACCGAGUUUUUUUAUUUUCAUUUUUUUUGCUUUCUUAAAUUGUUUUUAUUUUUAUUUUUUUCUUACAGUUUAUUUUUAAAAUUUAACUGGUUUUUAGUUUUAUUUUUUUAUUUUGUGAAUUUAUAUAUUAAUUUAUAAAAAUAUAAAUUAUCUAGAAUAUUAUUUAAGAAAAAUACAUAUAUUUAAGUGAUCUAAUUCUUUCUUUUAAAAAAAUUAAUUAAAUAAAACAAGUUCAAUUCAACUUGUUGGCUGCAUAUAUUUUUUAAAAAUUUCAAAUAUGUAUUUUAAUAAUUAAAUAAAAUGAAAAUGCAAAAGAAUUGAAAUAUAUAUUAGGAUGAGUUGUCCAAUCUUUUUAUUUUAAAAAUGUAAAAGUAAUAGAAUACUAAAUAUUGUUAUUUUUAACGAAAUGGUUUUUAAAUCAACUUUAUUCCAUUUUAGUAAAAUAUUUUAAAAUAAAAUAUAUGAAAGGGAUGUGUUCAACAAAAUAUGUGUUAAGUAUUUCUAAUAAUUUACCUAUUAUUUUAUAUCCUUAGUUAAUAUUUAUAAUAAAUAAUCACAAUUCAUUUUAUAUUUAAUUAUAUAUAAUAUUAUAUUAUAACUUUUUUUUAUCCAUAUGCAUAUUAUAACUUUAGUCACAUUAUUUUAUAUAUAAUGAAUAUAACCAUGAAAUUAACAUUUUUAAUGCAUAAAUCUUGCAUUUUUUUUUACUUAAGGAAACUUAGUGAAUGAUGUUGCUUUAACUUCUAUUUCUAUUGAUCUUUUGUGUCUAAAUAUGUUUAUGAAUUUAAAAUUAAAUGAACCUAAAAAUAAUAAAAAGGUCAAGAUAAACCAAACAAAAAGAGAACUAAUUAAAUUUUAUACAUAACGAAUAAUUACAUUUUUCUACGCUUGAAUAAUUACAAUGUAGUAAAAUAAAAAAAGUGAUUUAGUGAAAAUAAAAAGUGGUUUGAAUUAUUCAAGGUAAUCAAAUAACAAUGUAACAUUAAGAAAAAAAGUGUGAAAAUUAUAUAAAAUUUAAUUUAACAACUUAUGAUAGUUUUUUUUUAUACCAACAUAUAGAUAAUGAAAAAGGAAAAAAAAUGUUAAAAAACAGAAAAAAAAACAAAAUUCAUUUUCUAAGCUGAAUGUUUUUUUUUUAAAGAAAAACCUAAUUUAAAAUUUGAUUCUCCACAAACCGAUUUCUUAGACAAAAAAAAACUUUAGAAAUCGGUUCCCUAAUAACCAAUUUGUAAUGUGUAUUUUUUUUUAAAAUAAAACCAUGCAAGUAAAGAAUCAUUUUGUAUGUAAGAACCCAUUUAUCACCUUGCAUAUUAUUUUAUAUCAUCUAUAUAAACGUUUUUCACGUAUAUUAUUUGGGUAAAUAGUCUUUUUUGUAUUUUUUGGAGUGAAAAAUUUGGUACCAUGUUUUUGGUCUUUAAUAUUCAUUUGGUGAAUUUUAAAAAAGUAUACUAAAGUUAUCACAUAUUACUGCUAUGAUAACAAACACACCUAGAUAAUAUUAGUAUGAUCACUUUAAUCUAAAUACAUAUAUAGUGUAGAAAGUUUUAUCUAAUUUUUAAAUCACAAUGAUAAAUUUGUUAACUUUUAAAAUAAUUUUAAAUUAAGUAUGAUAAAUUUAUUAAUUUUUAAAUAAUUAUCUUAAAGUAAUUUAAAUGAUGAGUUAUGAUUCAAUAAUGAUAUAAAGUUAUAUUUUACAUGAAUAAUGUAUAAACAUUAAAUUCAUAAGAAUAAAACAAAUUAUAUUUUUUAAGAAUAAAAUUCAAAAAGAAAUUUAGAGAAACCAAAGUUAAAUUUCACUCAUUUUGAAAUGACUAAACACAUACUAUGUAACUUUUUUUAUACUGUAAAACCUUUUUCUUGUUUUAAUCCCAUCACAUUCUAUUUAUCUUUUAAUAUGUUUGAUUAAAUUUUAAUAUUUUAUGGAAAUAAUUUUUAAAAUUCAAAAUAAUUUUCAAUAACUUCUCAUGUUCCAUGAGAAUAUUACUUUAUCAUUUAUCUUUGAAAGGAACUGAAGUCACAAUUUAACCUACAGAGGCCACAAUGUGAUUUCCGACAGACUUGUAAUUUUAUUUUUUACUUUUUUAAUAACUAAUCAAAUAUUUACACGUAGCUGAAUCCGAAAAUUAGAAAAUUCAACUGGAACCCCCCGACGACGUCGUUGUGAGCGGUCGCUGGUGGCGCCGGAACAAGCUUCGAUCGGAGCUGGCGCGCUUCUCGGGGUCCAAGAGCGUGCAGUACGCAACAUGGAUCUUCAUGAACUCGCUCGCAGAGGAUUCCUUUCGCUCCAUCGGUGCCACGUCGGGGUGGCACAUCCUCGCCAGCCACCGGUACGCCGCCUUGAUUUCCAUGCCGGACGCGGCGGCGCGGAUCCCCAGAAUCUCGUACAGCAUCGCGCACGAAGCCAUACCGUGAUGAGGGCCCAAAUACGAAGCUGUCUUAUGUCGUUGCUCCUCCGUGCAAGUGGCGAUGGCGAAGGACACUGUUAACCGGAAUCUGACUUGGCGCGGCGGCGAGGAGACCCUUUUACCGGAUAAAGUGGCGGUGAAUGUAGGAAAAUGUGCUGUGAACAUGUUAUGGUAUGAUACGUCGUUGUUGUUUGAGGCUUUGGAUUUGGAGGAAGAUUGGGUUUCGUAUAUAAAGAGGGAGAGUGAAAAUGGAGAGAAGGUGUGGGUCCCACCAUAACUGUGCUUCUGUGAUUGUGCUCUGUUUGGGUUGGUAUUCAAGUGAAAAACCAAUCUUUUGCACAUUUUGAUUUUUAUUGGCGAAACUGAAAACGUGUAGUAGGACUUAUCCAAUUUUUAGUUUUGAUACUACUCGUGUCGUUUAAGGAUUGUCUUUUGCCUCUUUUAAGGUACACAGUACAUUUAAUUUCACAUUUAUUCACGGAAGUUUUUUCAAAAUUAUUUUUAUUAUAAUUUUUUUAUCAGCUAAUUUUUGGUAUGCGGGCUCAUUUGGUUUUGGAACCCAAACGGCCUUGUUCAUUCAAAAUUAUUUUGGAUAAAUAGUCAAUUUUAUCUUUAAAUGUGUAAUUUGUUAAUAAAUAUGUGUUUGAAAAAUAAAAAUACAAAAUUUAAUAUCUAAAAAUAUAAAAAAUGUGACAAAUAUAUUUGGUCUUUAACUUUUGUCCAUUAGUACAAUAACCUACGUAGCACAGAUGAACGAAUUUGUCACUGAAAUGACUGUCAACAUAAUUAUAUCUCAUUGUCAACAUAGAGACAUAUCUGUCAUAUAACAUUUUCUUGACUUUUCGUCUUUUCACCCCGAUGACAAAUGUGUUUCUAAAAGAUAAAAAUACAAAUUUUAGUUUAUGAAUGUGUAAAAAGUGUGACAAAUAUAUCCGACUGUUAACUUUUGUCCGUCACCAUUAAUAAAAUGAUUAGGAUUCAAAUAAGUGAAAUAUGUAAUAAAUUUAUCUUUUAUUUAUAGUAGAUUGUGACUAAUUAUUAUAAUUUGGAAUAAUUUAUAAUGAUUGAUACAUUAUUACAAUUUUUAUUUUGGUAAAUUGAUACAAUAUUUAUUUUUGAUGAUUUCUAUUGCGACAGACAAAUUAUGGUAUGUUUUAAAUUAUGUUUGCCAAUAUUUUUUAAAAUGAUUAUUGUAAUGUUAUAAAAAAUAGUGAAAAUUUAUCCUAAAAUUAUAUUUUACUCUUAAAUUAAACAAAAUUUGGGAUCUAACAAAUUAGACCAAUAGAAACAUGUAGAUAUUUAGGUUCAAUAAAAAAUUAGUGACAUUUUUGUCUAAUAAUAAUAAUUUAUUAACAUUUUGGUCUAAUGAAACGUCCUGACAUUUAGGUCUAAAACAAAUUAGUGACGUUUUUUUCUAAUAAAAAAAUAUUGACAUUUUCGUUCAACAAAAAAAUUACUCACAUUUAUGUUACAAAAUGGUAUCUUAGUGACAUUUUCAUCAAAUCUAGUCAAUAUAAUCAUGUUAACAAUCAUUUCAGUAACAAAAGUCCCUUUGUACCACGUAGGUUAUUUUAUUAACGCUGAUGAAUGGAAGUUAACGGGUAAAUAUAUUUGUUGUACGUUUUAUACUUUCAGGGACUAAAUUUUGUAUUUUCAUAUUUCAGUAUACAUUUGUCAAUGAAUUACAUAUUAAAGAUAAUAAUGACUAUUUACCUAAUUAUUUUCAUUAUAGUCUUUUUUUUUUGUUUUCCAACUAAUUUUUAGGUAUACAAUGUUUUUUUUUGCAAGACGCAACCUCCAAACGACCCUUAUUCACAAGCUCUUUCAAAAUAGUUUUUGUUAUAAGCUUUUUUCUAGCUAAUUUUUAGGUAUACAGCUUAUUUGGCUUUGCGAAUUGCAAACCCGAAAGUGAUUAUAAGUUUUUGAUUUUUAAUUUUUAAAUGUAAUUAUAAAAACAAAAUAUGUUCCAUAAAAAUGAAAUUAAAAUGAUUUUUAACUCAAUUUUAAAAUAGUUUUACAUUGAUUACCAAAAUGAAGAUUUUUUUUUUCCGAAUUUGAUUGUUUUAAAAAACACAUUCUUACGCAUUUUAUUUGCUGACGAUUGUUUUUUUACAGGACAGAUGAUACAAAAGUCUCUCAAGGAGAUCUUUGACCAAACGAGUUUCAAGUCAAAUCAUCAAUUUUUAAAAAUAAAUUUUUUUCUUCAGAUCCAAUACUCUAGCAUCAAAGGCAGAACAUCUCAUCUUUUCUUGGAGUAACUUAAAAUAUUGUAUCUAGUAGAUACCUGGGACUACCAUCCAUCAUUUGGCAAAAGAAAGAAAGUUGUCUUUGGUUUUGAUAAAAGAUAAUCUCUUGAAGUGAAUCAAUCACUCGACUAGCAAGCAAUUAUUAAAAGCUGGUAAAAAAAUUCUCAUUAAAUCAGUUGUUUAAUCCAUCCCUACUUAGUGUAUGAGUAUAUAUAUAUCUAUUAUGAUGACUUGCAGAAAAUGAUGGGUUCCUUCUAGUGGGAUUCAAACAACCAAAACAAAAGAGGAAUCAAUUGGUUGAAUUGAGACAAGAUGACGAUGAAAAAAGAGUUUGGAGGCCUUGGAUUCAAAAAAUUUCAUGCCUUUAACCUUUCCCGUUAGGAAAGCAAGGUUAAAGAUUGAUGAUCAACUAAGAUUGCUAAAGUUUUCCAUUAUUGAAUUUCUUAGAUGCAUGAUUGUGACACAAUUCAAGUUUUGUAUGGUGCAAUAUCCAUGAUUCACGGGUAGUAAUGAAAGAAGGAAUGCAAUGACGAAUUGACAAUGGUAAUUCUAUCCAAGUUUAGACAGAUCCUUGACUCACAAAAGGUAACAACAAUUAUGUCUUACCCAACAAUUCCAACGUGAAUAAUUUUUUAGCAGCAAGGGAGCUUAUUGAUCAAAGUACACGAGCCUGGAAGAGAGAUUUAGUGGAGACUACAUUCAAUGCAACAUAUGUUGCAGACAUUCUGUCAAUUCCCCUUCUUCACACAACAGAAAAUGACAAAUUAUUUUGGAAAUUUUCUACAAAUGGAGAAUACACAUUACGUAGUGCUUACGACAAUAUCAUCGACAAAUUGUUGGACACGAGCAAUUUCAAGAGUGAAGGUAAUUGAAACUUAAUUUGACAACUUAAUUCUCCUCCAAAAAUAUAACAUUUCCUUUGGAGACUCUUGAGGGGUUGUCUUCCUACUCGUGCCAAUCUUAGAAGGAAUAAUGUUCUUUCCUCCUUGAGUGUGUUUGUUGUAGCUCAAAUAUUGAAAAUGAAUGGCAUAUUUUUUUAGCUUCUGACCAUGCAAAAAAUAUUUGGAUCAAAGCUAACUUAUGACAGAUCAUUGAGCAACAUUGGAACGAAGCUGAGAGUUUCUCUCUCCUUUCAUUUUUCAGCUUCUGCAUGUUCAAAUCCAGAAAAUAGAGCAAAAAUGAGAGUCAUCUUAUGGAGCAUUUGGAAGAGUAGGAACACAAAGCUUUGGGAUAAUGUUGAAACACAUCCAGCAGUAGCUUUCUCAACAUCAAUAUAAUGCAGUAUUUUUCAGAGUGGAAGCAUGCCGAAUUAUCCUCCCAAGCGCAUACAUCACCCUUGUAUAGUACUUCCGGGAAUAAUACAACAAUAACAUGAAUCCCUCCUCAGCAAAACCACUUGAAAUGCAACCUUGAUGCAUCCAUAUUCCAAAAGUUGAACUCCUUAAUUUGAGGGAUUCAAAUGGGAGUUUUAUCAAAGCGAAAACAAUCUCUGUAUCUGGUGUGCCCCUCCCAAAAGUUGUUGAAGUUUGGGCUCUCAAACAAGCCAUUUUCUGGACAAAACAACUCAACCUUCGAGCUUGAUUGUAAAUUGGUGGUCGACGAUUUCAAUAGCUGUCCUUAAGGUUCUACAUACUAUCAUGUCAUUCUAAAUAGUUGUAGAGCAUAAAUUUCACAUUUCUCAAACUCUAGGUUAGUUUUGUAAAGAGAAAAAACAAAUUUUAUAUUUCACAACCUUUUAAGGGUUUCAAAAUUUUAUACUAGCUCUCAUGAUUUAAAUUAUGUUUCUUCUUGUAUUAUUUCACUUAUUAUGAAUAAAAUAAUAUAAUUAUAUUUCCUUUUAAAGAAAUUAAAUCAUUUGGGUCUAAUUUUUUUUCAACCCUGAUGCAACUCUAACCGAGUUUACUUUUAUAGUAAAUAAAUAUUAAACAAUUUAGAGUUAUUUAAUUUAAUACAUAUUAAUAGCCGCAAAUAACAUAAAUAUUUUUUUAGAAAAUAAAUAUUAAAUAAUUUGGAGUACUUAGAACACUACUUCAAUCUUUAUUUUUAUUUUUAUUUUUUAUUUCUUUUUCGGUGAGCUAUUUAAUGCUUACUAAAAUAACAUAAAUAUUUCAAAAUUCUUAUUAAAGAAGAACCGAAGUGUAAUACAAAAGGAAUAAAGGACUAUUGUUAAUUUUUUUUAAAAAAAAAAAUUGCGAAGCCUGGAAACGAAGCGUUUAGAUUUAGAAGAACAGAAGAUGCAGCUUCGUCGAUCUUGCUUCUUCUUUCAUCAUUCGGCAUCGCGUUAGGGUUUGCAGAUUUUCAAUUUCCCUUCUUUUCGCUACGUUUCUUGCUUGGAAUCUCGCUAUUCCUCCGUUGUUCCGUUUCCGCAACUCAUCAUUUCGAAAGAUAUCGCUUCACAAGGUAAAAUAUUUCGUUCCCUGAGCUACAAUUUGAUGGUGUUCCUUGUGUUACAUCCUCGAUUCCUCUUCAUCAGUUUCAUCGAAAUUCGAUUAAAUACAAUUUCCAUGCAUCAUUUAAAUGUUUUCGAUUAUUAUUAUCUGUGUGGAAAACUAAUUGGAGUGUGAAUUAAUUUUUCUGUGCUUGUAACCUACAUUGUGCGUUGUGACAUGUACCUGUAUUCAGCAAUUGUGAUCCCUGUUCCUCAUAACUUGUGAUCCUGUGUUGCGGCUUAGGCCUGAUUUUUGGUACUUUAAUAAUUGUAAUUCUCAAUGAAACUGAACUUUUGGUGAAUUUGAAUUUAGGAGGAAGAGCAUGUAAUAAAGGAAAAAAUGGAGGUGGAGGUGCCAAUCUCGCUUGAUUCGAAUAAUCAACUUCAGCCAGAGACUGUAGUUUCAGUUCAAAUUGGGGAUCCUGGUGUUUCCUUAUCUGUUGCAAAUGCUGUUAACCCGCAGCAACAAGGUCAGUUUUCGAGCUUCAUUCCUAUUUUUUGUUUGGUGUUCAGUUGGGUUUUGACGCGUGUCAUUGUUGAGAUGAGAAGUUAAAGGUUUAAUUGCUUGAUAUCGUAUAUAGCUACAAAAAAACCGACCAGGCAGUGGGCUGCGUGGACUCGACAAGAGGAGGAAAGUUUCUUCACCGCGUUACGACAAGUUGGGAAGGUACAUUUAUCUUUCGUGUUGUUACAUUUCUGUGUUUGUUUCUUAUGGUAUCAUAAUGAUUGCUGAUCGAAAUAUUCUUGAAUGUAGAAUUUUGAGAAAAUCACUUCCCGUGUACAAAGUAAAAACAAGGAUCAGGUAUCCAUUACAACUCCCAUUUAUUGCAAAUAAUAUCAUGACUUGUUUUAGUUUUCUUACGUUUUUUUCCGGGUGGGGGCUGACUUGCAGGUCAGGCAUUAUUACUACCGACUUGUGAGACGGAUGAACAAACUUCUUGGUCCAGGAUUAUGUUUGGAUGCCAAAAACUCUAAAGAUACUAAUGCUGCAAUGCUUCGCUGGUAACAAUUUACUCAGAGUGGUUGUUAAAAUGGGUUUAUAUACAUGUAGGUGCGGGUGUGACUGCACACUCGUGUAAGAUGUAGACUUGCUUUUUGUCUACCAAGUUAAAAAAGUUAUUUCUCUAAUGGUGCAUUGGUGAAGAACUAAAAUGUAGUCUAUUUUAUUGUAUACACGUAAGGAAAAUCAUGGAAAGAACAGGUUGACAAUGGGAGGAGAACAUGUCCGUGUAUAGAUAUGGAUGAAUGCUUCAGAUAUCUAGCCUAGACCAUAAGGGUGAUCAUCUUUGGUAGUAAGAAAACAUUAAGGGGUGAAAUUCCUGACUAAUAUUCUUAAAGUACAUAACAUCCCCUGUUUAAAUACCCUUUUUAAUUUGAGGAUAGACUGGACUGUUUAGUGACUUGGUAAAUGACAUUCAAAUUUAAGACUGAGAUUGACAGUGCAUUUUAUAAUUUUAUCAUAUUAUGGUAAUUUCUUGAAUAAGAAUAGGGGUAUAUCACUAUUGUUAUGGGAGUUUUUUGCGUUGAAAGUUUCUCACUUUUACAUGUGACACAGGUGGUCUUUAUUAGAAAAGUAUAGCUGCAAAGCCUCAAAGCUUCACCUGAAGCCCCGGAGAUUUAAAAUUUUUUUAGAAGCCUUGGUUAGUAAAGGCUAUUUAUAUUUGUUUGGAUUUUUUUUUAAUAUCUUAUGUAUGUGCUGGAGCUGAUCUACAUUUUUUGUCAAAGGAACACCAAUUAUUGAAGGACCGGAAGAAGAAUGUGAGGAAGCGACCCUUACAGGGGGGGAAUUGUCUUCCUUCUGCGCCUACCACAGUCUCAAAUCAAAGUAGAGCAUCAGGAAAUGAUGCCUAUGCAGUUAAACUGGUACUUGUUGACAGUCAAAAUAUUUUAAAAUUGGGACCUUCUAAACCAUCAACGAAGCGCAAUGUAAACAUGGGUGUUAACCGUAGUAACACUAAGGGAGAUUCAAAUACCAUGAAACCAACAAGGCAACGAAAGAAAUCUGGUGAUUCUUUUUCAAUUCCCUUCAAGAUCUCUUUUACCAGUUUUCUGCUUUGAACUAGUUUUUCCUCAUGAUAAUCGGAUAAUAUAUAUUUAAAAUUUAAAGUAAAUUUGCAUUAGCCAAAGUUUUUACUUCCUUUAAAUUAAAAACUAUGUUCUCUUUAUUUCUCAGGUACGAUUUCAACGGCUGCUUAUAGAAAAUGGGAGAAGGCUGCAAUUGCUGGUGUUUCUUUAGUUGCAGAUGCUGCUGAGCAUUUGGAGCGAGCUGCAACUGUUAAAGGAAUUGAACAAGACCAGGAGAAUCCAGGUAGCUACCACACUUGAAGUUUUAUCCUAUCCUUGCUUCCACAAGAGCUUUCUCGGAUCUUCUGUAACUUCAACUGAUUUUUCUAUGUUCAUUCCAGGAGAAAAAUGUUCUGAUCCCGCUGAUUAUGUCCUGCCCUCUUUACCCACAUGUCCACAAAAUCAAUUUGUUGAUAACAAUGUGAACAAUAUUAUGAAACUUAAGCUCCAGUUAUUUCCAAUUGAUGAACCUACUCGAAGAGCAUUGGAAAUGGUGAGUAUAAAAGAAAACCAACAAGCAUCUUACUUUAGAAAUGUAAAAUUGCUUUUGGAAACUAUCAUAUCUUUAUCUUUUUUCCCCUUCUCAGGAUAAGCAUAAUCCACACCUGGAGCUUACACUUAGUACUCGAAAGAAGAUAUCAUCAAUUUUAGAACAUCUAAACCGUAAAUGGGGUAAUUCAAGCAUAGCAGCUGGAGAAGUAAUGCUUUUUCCUUAUGGUAUUCAAAGGGAAAACUUGGUUAAUUGUCCGAGAUGGACCCAGGAAUCUACUCUUAGUGCAGCAGAUAUAUAUGCAAUGAUUGGAAGUCCACCCAUCUUCCGUUUAAGGUACCUCUCUUAUCUUGCCCGUCUUGGUUUGUUGUUAUAUUUGAAGUAACUAGACAGUGACAUUUAAGAAAAACUAUUUGAGUGUGUUCUUAAUAAUUGCUUAGAUAAAAGAACCUGUGAAAAUUUAUUCACUUCAUCACUGAUUAAUUUAUAAUCAUGCUUUCUGUGAAAGGUUGAAUCGAUGAGGGAAAAGUAAACAAAAUGGUUUUUAGAUACUGAGUUAUAUAAACCAGCAUGUUUCAGGGAUUCUAUACAUACAAUAAAUGCUUUAAAUGUAAAGACAUCUGAGCUACUUUACCUUCGUUAUUGUUAUAUUUGAAGUAAUUAGACAGUGACAUGUAAGAAAACUAUUUAAUUGUGAUGUUCUUAAUAAUUGCUUAGAUAAAAGAACAUGUGAAAAUUCAUUCAAGUCAUCACUGAUUAAUUGGUUAAUUGAUAAGCAUGCUUUCUGUGAAAUGUUGAAUUGAUUAGGGAAAAGUAAACAAAAUGGUUUUUAGAUACUUAUAUAAACCAGCAAAAUGUUUCAGGGAUUCUAUACAUACAUAAAUUAACUCAUUGAUGGAAUUUGGUGAACAUUCUCAAGAAAAGUAAACAGCAUGAGGGCUUGUGUGUGCAGAAUGGGAAGGUCUAUUUAAUUAAGAGACAAGGGAUAGAUUAGGAAUAAUAAAUAUGGAAUAGAAUUCAUUUUUACUAUAUCUACAUUGUAAUGAUCAUAUAUGCUUAUCUUUGUGAAGGUAUGGCUGGUUCUCCAAUACUGAGCUUGGGUUAUUAAAUAUGCAAGUGCCUGUAGCAUCUGGCUCCAUGCUCAGACAAUACAAAAGUACUGUGGACAAUGCUAAGGAUCAGAUUGUGAAUUCAGUUUCAUUUCCUACACCAUUGACUAAUACUCAUUCCAUGGAGCUCUCUGAAGAUUGCAGAACAUCCAUGAACAGAAACCGUACUCUUAUCACUGCUUCAACUGAGGAAUCUCGUGAUCCUACAGCCAAUACACUGUGGCAUGGAAAAGAUGUUAGGGAUGGAGCUGUGUCUACACAGUUGGAAGACAUGGUAAUUGUCAUUCUCUCUAUUUUUGUUGCUUUUAUUAGCCCUAUAGUGUUACUUUAGGCUUUCAUCUUGUGUCAUAGGAUCUUGAAUUGUUACCUUAUUGUACUUUGUUGGCACAUGGUAUAUCAUUAUCAGCAUCCGUAACUUUUAAGUUCUUUGUAUAUAUUCAGGAUGAGUUGAAAAUAAGCAGUGGAGCAGGACUGUCAGCUGGAGAGUGGGCUGAUAGCCUUACCAACAUUAGUGUGGGGGAUCUACUUUCAGGAGUGUCCCAGGAUCUUGAUAACUGCAUCGAUCCUCCUAUUGCAGAGAAUUUUCAUGAUAUUCAGCAAAUUCCUUUUAGUAGUGAUUCUUUUGAUGCUGCUAUUGCUGCUCACAUAUCUAGACACCAAGACAGGAUGGGACAAUCAUCUCUGGCAUCCCAUAUGUCUUCCAUCUGGGAUGCCGAAGAAACUUGUGAUGCCUUUUUAUUUAAAAAAGAUCCUAUUCUUCACGAAGAUCAUCCUCGUUUAUCUCCAGUUGCUUCUUUAGAGUCUGAGAAAAAGGUUACCAAAAGAAGCUUUGACAAAUUGGACGAGGUAGUAUAUCUUAAUUGUUAUUACUAGACAUUGCUUGUGAAGUGAAACAAGGUUUAAUUUUCAGAGUAUUUAUUGCAGCUGUCACCUGAAAGAGAGAGGCUUGUGGAUGAUUGUGCUCAAACAGACCCUAAUCCUAUGGACAGUUCCGAGUCUGAUGCAGAUAUCCAGGAGCAUUUAGGAAAGGAUUUUAGUGCGCUAGCAGAUAUGUAUUGGGUAUUUUUCUUUCUAUACUCCAAUUUUUUCUGUCAGAGUCCAUGGCUUCUUUACAGUUGUUUAGGUUCACUUACGGACAUUUAGUAGGAUGCUUAUCUCAGGAAGUCAUUACAAACAUGUUUACAUUCUGUCCCUCUGAGCUACAAAUUUUUUUUGAAGUGUUGAAUUCAUUACAAAGAUUGAACUACUAUUUUGUGAUUUUGUAAUGUAUAUAUGUACAUACACAAUGCGUCUGACUUUAUUUCCUACUCUGUCUUUCAAUUCUAUCAUGUUGCAGCCUGAUUCCUUGGGACCUUUGGAUUUGGAUAUAUCAUCAUCAACUAAAUACCAUAGCGAAGAUCUAAUUUUUAGUGAUAGUCUUAGUGGAUUGAAUCGCUUGAUAGCCAGCAGCCUGGAUGCAUUCCAGAAUUGUUCCUUUUUUGGGUUUGACAAGAAGGAAGCACCAUCAACAGUUGAGGCUCGAGAAUCUGCCGCCCUUUCAGAUUUUAAAAUUGGAAGUGGUAUCUGAGACUCGUCAUGAUCGGAUCUUGGUGAUGGUUUUCCAUUUCUUGCAUGAACACAAUUGAAGUUUGUUAAGAAUUAACAUUUUUCCUUAUACUGACUGGAGGUGUGCAUGCCAAAGAAUUGGAUUGAGCCACUUCCAACUCUUCCUGUAUAUGUUUCUCUAAUCUGCGUCUCUUUCCUUUUGUACAAAAAAAAAAAAAAGGAUCAUGGAAGAAUCGAUCUCCUGUAGAAAUAUUCCUAUUUUUAGGUGAACUAUAUCUUUUUUUAUUCUCUGCUUCGGAUGUUGUGUUUUAAGAAGACCGUCUUGCAACUCCGUGGCAUGGACUUGUUUUCUAAGCUAAUGGACCCCACCCCCCUCUCUUUCUAUCAUGCAAGCUAAAUAUCUGAUGGACAAAAACGUUCAGUUUUAUGAUUAACUUUUUUCAUAUUCUUUCUUUUAAAGUGAUAACUUGGGCCAGAUACGUAAACAAUACAUUAUCUGAUAUAAAAGCAGUCAAUUCUCUUUUAGAACAAAUUGUGUUUCAUUUUGAAUUUGCUUGAGCUUUUAAAUGAUGAGGGAAAAAAUGACCUUACGGGAUAUAGCUUGUUCGGUUCAUAUAAAAUUCGAGAUAUAUGAUAGCACAGUAACUUUCGUCCCCUUACAGCUUGUUUUUAGAUACUAUCGAGGGCAAAGAAUAAUCUGACGCACAAAGUGAACUCCCAUUCUUAUCUAAGUUUAAGACCAUGAACCAACAUUGAUGCUAUUAGACUCUAUUCCUAAUCCUAAUCGCUAGUUAGAAAUUUACACCCUUUAAUGCAAAUUUUUUAUUCCCUUGCCGUAGAAAAGUUACCAUAUCCAUAUCCAUAUAUGAUUACAUUUUAAUAUGAUUUCAUGUAACGUGUGGGAUGGAUAAUACCCGAUUAUUUAAAUAUUAAUAAGCAUAUUUACCCAUAUUUUUUGGAUAUAGAAUGAAAUAGAAAAGAAAUAAGCAAGAGGGAUAGGUAUAAAAAGGAAAUAAAUCGGAAAUGAUGUGUUAUUUUGAUGAAUAAAAAUAGGAAGACAAAAUAUAAAAAAAAAAUCUCCAUUUGCUUGGAUGAAUAAAAAUUUGUAAAAAUAGUUCCAAAAAGUUUAUUUAUUUUUACCUCAAAUGUUUUUUUUAUAUUAUAAAAAAUAUUUGAUUUUUAAAAUUAAAAAAUUACCUUUUUAAUAGCCAUCAAAUUAAUCAUGAUAAAAGGUAAUUUAUAUUACAAUUAGUUCUACUAUUAUCAAAAGAGAUAACGUGUUGUCAAUAAGAUAAUUGUAUCUUAAUUACACAAUUAAAAAUAAAAAAUAAAAAUAUAACAAAAAUGCAAUUCCAUUGUGUGUUUAGAUAUGUAGUUCCAACAAAAAAAAUACAUAAUAAAAAUGCAAUUCCUUUAUGUAUAAAGAUAAAAGAGAAUUACAUUUCCAUAAAAUUUGAAAGAAAAAAAAAGUGUUUGGAUAUCGUGUAGGAAAAGAGGAAGAAAAAAGGAGGGAUUACCAAAAGUUGCUGAUACAAGUGAUUGGAUACUUAAUUACACCCGCUAGUUAUGCCAAAAAAAUAAAAAUAAAGGGUUGGAAGAGUAUUAAUGGUGGUACAAAUAUCGGUCCCGUUUAAAAAGUUUGUAAAUGCAAGAUUUUAUAUUGGCAUAAAUAUUUUGAAAAUACAAACUUCAGUCAGAGAUCGAAUUCACGCCUAUUAUUCAAAUAAGAUAUCCAGUAUAUAUAAUUUUCGUAUCAACAAAAUCCUAAUAUUUGCCCGAUAACGAGCUCGACAAUUUUUUUAAUUAAUUAAUUUAUUUUCUCCUUUAAAAGUUAUAAAUCUACUCAUCCUUACCAACGUUAUGCUCACAGCAAUUUGUAUAUAAAAAAUAUAAAAAAAUUGAUUAAUAAAAACUACUCAUUAAUACAUUAUUGUUAUCAUUAUCAAUAAUAUGGUUUAUAGUUAUAUAUAUACGCUGUUUUACCCAAUAAUCAGUUUUUUUUAAAAAAUAAAAUUUAUCAGUAAACCGGACUGGGAUUCACAAAAAAAGAGAAAAAGAAAAAAAAAACCCAGUCCUUUCAGAAAAUCAUGCUAAAGACAAAGUGAGAUAACAUUGGUAGCAACAAAAAACGAAAUUAAACCACAUAAAAGGCAGUGUGUAGCACGGUAAUAAUGUGACAGCUUUCUUCAUGUGGCCUUUACCAUCUAUGCAUAAUCAUGCAGACCCACAUAAUUAACAAAAUUCUGACACUUCAAAUGGCUAUUUUCCCUUUAAAGGUAUUUAAGCUCUUAGCCAAAAGAAAAUAUGGGGAAAAGGGAACUUAAUCUCACACUAAGUACAACCCUCACUUGUUGGAGCACAUCUCAGACCAAACAUGCUGAGAAGGAACAGUGACAGCAGGACUAACUUUUUAUCCAAUUCGUUUAAGUUUACACUUUAAUUAUUCUCCUCUAUGGAGAAACAUGCCUACUAUUUUACAUAGAGAAAUGUUAGCACACCUUUUAACACACUUUUUACUGUCAAAAUUUGUUGAAAAUCAUAAAAUUAUGAGGGUUCCACUUAUUUAAUAAACCUCACUCACCAUUUUAUAAUUUUUAAUAAACGUUGACCAAUAAAAAAUUGUGUGUUGCUAGCACUCCUCUUUUACAUAUAUGAUGGCAACAACUGAAUGUGCCAAACAAAAAAAUUCAUAAUUGUAGCAGGAAGCUACAAGGAUAUUUGUCAAAAGGGUGGGUAAAGACUAUGAGAGGCCAGCUCCUUUGGGGAAGUUAGUAAUGCUAAUAACCAUUCAAAACUGGUAUUUCAGCUCCAUAUUGUCAUUAUGAAAGAAACUUGGAUGAGGAGGGCAAAUUAAUCAUUCUUUGAUUAAAAUGUCAUUCUCUCCCAUUAUUUAUUCCUAGACUUUGAAGAAGCCCAUUUGAAGUAACCGCAGUUUGCUUCCGGAUUAGAUGCAGGGCCCUGUAAGUGGAAAAACACGUUAACAUUCUGCAUAAGGCGAGUGAUGCAUGAAUUCCAAAACGACAGACCAAAGGAAGACAAGAUGUAAAACAGAAUACGAUCUAACCUAUCAGAAGUAGUGGCUAUAACCUAUAAUAACUCAUGCAGAUGCAUGACAAGCUCUAGUAAGAUAGCUUACAAAACCCAAUCCCAACCUUAAAACACAUGCUCCUUAUUACUUUUCUUCGGUGUUCCAAUAUAUGGUGCAAGUUUGGUAGUUCUUACAAGACAAACCUUACUUUGAUCCUCAAAAGAAAGACUAUCAAUUUAGCACCUACAACUGAAUUGCCGUAUAGUGGUAAACUCGUGAGUUUACGAAUCAAGCUUACCAACCCUCAAUGAACUUAUAGAAACUCUUGAGUUUGACAAGCUUACAAAACUAGAGAUCAACAUUGCUCUAAUUUUAAUGAGGGACUAAAUUCCUUUGAUGGGCAGAUGGAUGAGUCCUCAUAAAACUAUAGUGUAGUGCAGAAGAAUAAUUUUAAAGUUACUUAGAAGCACAAUGCCCAAAACCACUCAAUGGAAACAGAUUACCUCAGCACGGGCACAAACAUAGAAUCUGCGGCCAAAAUUAGGUCCUUGUUUCUUCACCACCCGAGCAAUACAAGGUUCCUUAUGGCCCUUGCAAAUAGGUAUACUGUUCUGCAUCAACUGUUUUAUUCGUUGCCACUCUAGUGAAGCCACAUUACUUUUUUCUUCUUUUGUGGAACUACCAUUUGGUCCAGCUAAAUCCGGAUCACAUGUAUCAGUAUCCAACUCAUAUUGCUUGGGACUGCCAUUAUGAGCACAUACUGUUGGAAUUUCCUGUAAACGAGGGCUUGGUUGAGAGGGUUCUGCCUGAUUAUUAUUUGAGUAAUCAGUACAUGAGUCAUUGACUACUUCUUUUAUGGAACUACCUUUGUCAAGAUUUGUACUUUUCUGAAAAAAUGACCGAAGUGAGAGCUGGGACCAUUGACCAUUUCUAGCUUUUUUGUUGGAUCUGUUACAUUGCCUGGUUGUUGAUUUUUUAUUUUCACUUCCUGAUUUAGAAACAGACUCCUGAGAAGAACCUCCAGAAAGUUUGUUUGGUUUCAAAAUGCUACUAACUUCAAAAUCCUGGCUUGGAGGAAAAUGACAUUCAUUUGGACUUCUUGUGGAUGAACCAGCUCUGUUCACUGGUUCUUCUCUCUCACAAGUACCAUCCAUUGCAAUGUCUUCUUGUGCCAUCUCACAUGAUUUCAUUAGUUCAGAAACUUGUCUUUUCAUCAACACUGACACUGCAAGAAAAGGUUCAGAAACAAAUACACAUUAACAAUAACCUCAUGAACAGAGAAUCUCAUCCAAUGAAGAAACAAUGUUUUGUACCUAGAGUUUGCUGUAUGCCGUGAACCAUGGGAACAUAUCUAGCAGAUAAGGAAGGAGUACUGUGCAGAGAGACAUCAGGAAUUUCAUGUAAAGACAUUAAAACUGGAGCAUGAUCAGAUCCUUCCAGUUUAACGCUAUGCCCUCCCUUCCACCUAUGGGCACUGAGCAAAUCAGGAAUUCAGUUAAAACCUACAUUCUUAACCUCGAGGAAGACAUGCAGCAUUGAACCAUUUGACACAGUAGUGGUGAAGAACCACACUAGUAGUGAGAAAAAAAAAACAAUUUCUGAAAGUAGGCAUACGGUUUUUGCAAAUUUCAUGUGCAAUGUAAAAUGAAGUAAUCCAAAACAUAGGGCAUGUUACAGUAUCACUGAGUAUCUAAAAUUUACAUUAAAAAAAUAACCGUUUAGUGUCAAAGACAAAAUAGCUUAGGAUUCCCCAUACAAUGCUUGUAUCUUACCUCAGUGUGCUUUCUGGCUUACACCGUUUAUACUGUGUCAGAAUAUCACAUUCCUUGACAUGGCAUCUUAUAAAACUAUGGCAUUGCAGGUCAUCCAAUUCAUGUAAGCAUGAACCAGCAAAUAGAAUAUGGUCAAUUCUACUCCCAAAGUUAAAUACUUCAGCACCUGUAUUUUGUGACCAACAGGUGUAUGCUUCCCUUCUGCAUACAAUCUCAAAAUAUACAAAUACAAAUUAACAAGAUUAAUACUGAUCAUAUUGAAGGUGUGACCACAAAAUAUGGAAAACAAAAUGUAAAAUUAGAAGAAACAAGAAGGGAAAAUAUGGAGGUAUAUAGUUCACGCACAGAGAAAUGUAUCUGACAUACAGACUAAAAAUAAGAUUUAAAGUAGAUAUAUAGUUCAUUACAUUCAAACAAAACAUUUUCAUAAUCCGAAUUUGGAAAGUUGAAAAGGUGACUUCAAUUUGAAAGCAACAUAAUCCCAUAUAAACUAUAAAGAUGAAAGCUAUUAUACCUGGAAAAAAAAAGAUGACAAGAUAAAAAGAUUUAUAAAAAAGAUAGAAUUAAAAGAUUCUCCAAUCUCCAUUUUCUGGCAAGGCAAUGUUCAUCAGGUAUCAAAAUCAGGAAUUAAAUUUCCAAUCAAUAUCUGAUAUUUAACAAAACUGGUAACUCCAAGAUCCUUACCUAUCAGGAUGUUUUGCUCUGAAGACAUCAGAAAAUCGACCCCCAUUUUCAAUUAACAUUGAUUUGAACCAUUUUCUAAACCUACACAUGAAUUCAGGCAAAAAAGUUAAGAUAAUUAUCAGCAUAUUAGAUUAGACAUUAAAAAUACUUCAUAGAAUUCUGGCUGUAAGCUCACUCGUUAUUUUCAAAAUCAGGUCCGGCAUCACAUCGAUCAAUUGCAAAUGGUGCAAUAUUGAGAUCACCAACAACAAAUAUUCUCCUUCCUUGAUGCAGGAGAGACUCCCAUCUUUUCUAUUAAAGAGACUAUCAACAUCAAUCAAACAGAAAACAAAAGAAAAAAGAAAAUUUUCAGCUCUAUACAAGAAAACAGAGUAAAAAAAAAUGAGCACUGUACACAAACUAUGAUAUUCAUGUCCCAUUUAUUAAAAAGUUUUUUUUUAUCAGCCAAUGUUAGUUUUUGCUAGAAUGUUAGUGGGGAGAUUCGAACUCACGACCUCUAAACAUAUUGAGACGGACAAGCAGUUUUCAGGUCACAAUUUUCUUAGCAAUGAUACAAUUGGAUGAACCAAUUCAAACUUUUCAAACAUAAUCAACAUUAACAAGUUCAGAGAAUCUUAAACUCUAGCUCCGAAUUAUCAACUUGUCUAGUUGUCUUAUAAUUAUUUAUCCAAUAACACACAAUUGAAGCAGAAAAUACUACCAAAAUCCAAAUAAGAACAAAAGCCACCGUUUGAAGCAUGGAAAAAAUUCUGCAAAGCAAUGACUUUUGGAUUUAGUCAUCAUUCACUGAUUCUAUUAACAUAUAAACAUUUCAAAUACCUGUAAUAUCCUGUAAAAUUUUUGUUUAAACUGAAUCCUUUCUGUGUCAUCACCUCCAGCUCGGGGCCCAUACAAAUUGAAAAGAACUACACAAAUUCAAACACAAGUACACAACUGUGUCAAAACAACUAUAAAUUCCUUCUUUUUCAAAAAGAAAAAAAAUAAUGAAGAUGAUUAGAUUAAUGCCUUAAAAAUAUAUACAUCAUUCUUUCUAGUCACACUCAUGUACACCCCUUCACAGAACACCUGGAGAAUGGAACUUGGUAAACAAGGGAGCCAACUUUCAAAAAUCUCCCCCCCCCCCCCCCCCCCCCCCCCCUCCUCUCUUCUACUAAAUAAAAGGCAUAUACAGAGAAUACUCACCAAAGUGAGUGUGAUCUGUGAUUAUGCAGCGCCCCUCACUAUCAAGACUUAGAAGCUCAUCUUUUGAAAAUUCCUCAAGAUCUUCCAUCAAGAAUGGCAAUUUGUCGUUGCUAGUUUGAGAGUUUCCCAAAAGACCAGUAAACCCUUCCUCUGCUGCCAGCGGCAACACCACUUCAUUACUCGAAAAUGCAGACUUUACACGACAAAAUGUAAUGACACCUGCACAGUCAACACAAUUUAUUGCCUAAGAAGCAUGAAUGAGACACUCUAACACACUAUUUUAAACAUGUUUGUUAAUGAUUUAAUUACUCUUUUGGUCCUUCUAACUUUACAAUCUUUACAUUCAAUUCUUACGGCUAAAAUCUACUUGUUUUAGUUCCUUCAUUUACACUUUUUAAUCCAUUUUAGUUCUUGCCGUCUAGAAUUAUAGGGACUAAAACGAAUUAAGAAAUGUAUGCGAAGAGACUAAAACUAGUUAAAAAAAUGUGUAGGAAAUAAAAUUAGUUGUUAAUAGGUGUAGCCCCAUACAAACUAAAAGAUAAAGAUUGUAUAUUUAUUGAGAUCAAAUGAGUAAUUAAAUCUUUUUUACUAAGGGAGUCUAGUUCAAUUAGUUGAGCAGGUGCGUGAGUUGUUGUAAAUCUCCCUGGUAUAUGUCUUUUUUAUUUUAUUAUUAUUGAUAAAAAUUUAAUAGAAACUGCAUCCCAGUUCUUAUUUAACGAGUCUCACUCAUAUUUCGUAAUUUCUAAUAAAUUUUAACCAUUAAUAAAGAGACCCUUAGAGGGAAUGUGCUAAAGAGCUUGUCGUUAACAGUCCUCUUUAGAGUUUUCAAGGUCAAAUGAUAAACAAAGUCUAAUAUCUAGAACAAAAGCAAUAUCCUCAGGAAACAAGAUGAAGGAAACUAACUAGAUUGGGCAUUUAAUUUGUUUAUAUUCCAUUUAGUUGAUGAAAGAGAGGGGUGGGUUACCGGAAUAGCCGGUUCGGCCCUUCUGGGAGGUGCGGGUGCAUGAAAAGAACGAUUCGUAUCCGUCAGCCAUGACCAAAUCCGCUGUGACUUCCUGCCUCCGCAGUUUCGUCUCCUGAAGGAAAAACAGUGGUGAAUAAAAUGAGAAAUUGAGAAUAAAACGAAAAAACGAUGAAUUGGGAAAGCACCUGAAAACAAAUGAUGUCGGCGUCGAAUGAAUUUAGCAGGUUCCGGAGAGACCCGAACUGCGCUAUGCGCUGUCUCAGACCGUUCACGUUGUAACUCACUAUCUUCAUUCUAUUCUUCGCUCCUUGCAACUUGGAAGAACCCUCCUCUCCUCGUCUCCUUCAACGUGUUCUUGUCAUAGCAUUAGCUUGUAGUUGUAAUUAUUCCCGUUCCCUUGAAACAAAUUGCAGAAGCAGUUUAUUGUUUUAUCGUGAAAAUUAUAAAAAUAAUUUAAUUCCAAAUAUUUUGAUACUGUUUUUUUUUUCUUGAGUAAGAUAGCAGAGUGUCGCUGGACACUUUAUACAGGAAGAGAUGGAAUAAAUAAAUUAGGGUGUGUUUGGUUUGCAUUUUUAUUUUUAUUUUUUGAAAAUUAUUUUUAUUUUUAAAAGAUUAGAAUUUUAAAAAUAUGUUUAGUUUGAUUUCUUGUUUUUCACUUUCAAGAAAUAAGAAUACUGAAAAUGUGUUUUUAAAAGAAAAUUUAUUUUUAUAUUUGUUUAAAAUUAAAUUCCUUACCACUGUGUUUUCAUUUUAUUCAAAAUUAGGUUUCUAAUUUCAACUGAAAACAUUAAAAAUGAGAUUUUAUUGUUUCCAGUUUUUGAAUCGUUUAAAAAAAUAUUUUUAUUAAAAAUAUUUUCAAAAAUCCAAUCAAACACAUUUUCAUCACUAUUUUCUAUUUUCAAUAAAAAGAAAAAAAAAAUAGUCAAACUAAACACUCCCUUAUUUUUAUUAUGUGUAAAUGAGAGUCUUGCAUCCACUGUGUCCAAUUAGAUGAAUUUACUAUGUUGUCUUUCGUGAACAUUUUUAUUCAUAUAUUUUUUUAAAUAUUUAAUGCGCCGAUAAUAAUUAUAGUUCAUAAGUAAAAGGGAAUUUUUACAAAUUAAAAAGUGAUUUUAAUAUAAAUACAAAUUCAAAUGUUAAUCUUAUUUCUUGAUCUGUAGACUGUAGUAUUUACAACGGAUGGAGAGCGUAUUAAAUAAAAAACUUAUAAAGACUGAGGAAAGAACAAAUGUAUUAUAAUUAGAUAGUAUAAUAAUUCUAUAAUCUAAAUUAAAAUAACCGCAGAAAUUAAAACAAGAAUUAUGUUUAAUUGUAAAUAUUUUUAUUAAUCUUUGCUAUCAUGUUUUAGUCAAGAAAUAUAUUUAAAAAAUUAGCUACAUAUUAACUACAUAAUUAGCAAAGUAAAGCUUGCAAAAUAAAUAUCAACAAAAACAUGCAAUAUGUCGUUUGUAAAAAUUUAUGGAACUCUAGAAAUGAUUUAUAAAAAAGUGAAAAAAGACAAAUUUAAAAUUUAAAAACAUCUUAAAAAAUCAAACACAAUUAUGAAAUUAUUAAGUCACCACUUAUUUUUCCGUUGGGUUUAUUUUUGGAGAAGAAAAGGAGAAGGAAAUAGAGCAUGUUAGCAACAUCACUAUCAAGCCAUUAUCCUCAUUUACAAUUACAAUAUUUGUUAGUGUCUUCCUGAAACAAAGAAAUUGCAAAGGAAUUGAUACAGUAUUUUGACCAUUUUCAACUCUACAUAUUAUGUUGCAGCACAGGUACGGGGAAGCUCGUUAGUUGCUUGUUGGGAUACUUCUAUUUGGUGCUUAACAUUGGCUGUGUUGGGAUCGUUAUUAUGCGGAAAAUUAAGAGUUUGAUUCAUUCUUAAGCAACAAGUGUCGUAUGGGAUGUUGCUUUUAUAUAUAUAUAUAUAAAAUUGCCUGUCAUGCAAACAAUUAUACGUGUGAAAUAAAUUAGUACAGUUGUAAGAUAAAAUGUAUGAUAAAUUAUGGCUUCAGAUACUCUGCGGUAACAUUUUAACUCUUAGCUAUUAAAAAUUUUGAUUUUAUAAAAAUACUAUAAAUUCAUUUGUCAACGACUCAACUGGUUUAAGACUUUUUUGUUUGCGUUUAGUACUACAAAUUUAAUUCAUUCCUGUCGAGAAUUCAGCUUUCCGUUGCUUUUAAAAUCGGUUCACUUUAUAUGCAUACUCAUAGCAGUUCUUACGCAUGAGUAUCAUAUUUUUUUUCUGGUACAUGAAGAGAACAAAAGAAAAAGAAAGCAAAGGACUACGCAUGAGUAUCAUUUGACAAUAGGUUUUGUCAUUUCUAAAGCAAAAUUAUCAAUGCUACAGUUCCUCUCCUGACAACAUAAAAGAAUUGGCUUAGACAAUAAAGGCAUCAUAUAAACUCUUGUAGUGCUAGUGCACAAUCACAUUAUUUGGACUAGUUAAAAAUAAACACAAGUAUAUGCAGAGACUCGUCAUGAUGGUUUUUGGGAUUUAUUAAUUAUACUAAAAGUCUAAUAAUGUUUUUUAUGUGACGCUCCUGUUAUUCAAUUUCGUGAGAAAACUCAUGUUCCUUAAUGCAUACUCCUAUACUUUUCAGAAAUGAAUUUUCCAUAAUAAGAAAGCCUUGAUGCAUGAAAAAUGCAUCAUUCGUCCUAGCCACUUCUCGCUUCAAUUGCUAUUACAAAUAAAAACCUAUCAUAUCAUUCUCAGCAAGAGCACAUACCCACGAGUGACCUCCAAUGCAAAUCAUCAAAGCCAUCAACCGCUCCCUUAAGUCAUCAAUCCACAAUCACAUAGUUGCCAUGUCCCCCACUCUUCAAAGAGAACUAUAUAUAAAUAAAUAUAAAUACAUUUCAGACUCAAACUAGUAAACCAAGUUUAUGCAAACAAUUCAUUAGUAUCUACUAAGAACAGCAGGGUGCAAUUGCUUUUUCUGCAGGGAAAUAAGAAUGAGAUGGAAAAAUAGUGAGAACAGAAUUUGAUCCACGUAUUUCAUUUCAUGUUCAUUUAUGUUCGUUUUUUUUUUUUUCAUUUUUGGCUAGAAGAUUUAAUUUGUAGUUACACAUUACUUGCAUGGCACAACCAAGAAAACCCCGACACAUAAAUGAUACUGCUGAAACUGCAAUAUACCUGAAACCAGUCCAUGCAGGGUCUACAUAAACUCUACCAAACACCUCUUGAUGUAGUCCUCGUGACAUUGAGGACAUAAUCCCCGUGCAGGGGAUUACCACAGUCAAAAACUGGAGUUUUGAGUUUCAUAGAUUGUCAGCAUGGAUGAGUGGCUAAAAUCUGCAUAAUAGAAGAUAGUCUUAAGAGACUCAGCACAAUCACACAAUAAGAUACUUAUAGAGGAACUCCACCACUCGUAUCUCCAAACUUAUCUCAGCCUCUGAAGCACCUCUAAUCUAGAAUCUCCGCCGCCGAUGAACAGAUGGGCUUGAAACAUUUUUAGAACUCAUGCUUGCAGUUCUUAGGAGUCUACGAAACUCUGGUAGGCUUAUUUUUCCAUCUUUGUCAAUAUCAGCUUCCUCUAGCAAAGGAUCAACGGAGCCUCUCAAGCAUGUAUGCUGAAAAGCCAAAAAGGAAAAUUAGCUGCAGCAACUAUGUAUGUAAAUUAUUUUUAACUUUUAUUUUUACAGAUAUUCACAGCUCAAACUGAGAAGCAGAUCUUCUAGCAAGGCACUUACAACUGUCGCCCUAAAUAGUAAACUUACGGAUGCAAAUUUAGGUAAGUAAACUAGAAGACAACAAUUUCAAUUCUUUUAGAAAAUUUUUCAUAGAAUGUUUAGAGCUUGACAAAUGAUGUGAGACCAACCAUUCUAAGUUCUUCCGUAGUAAUAUAGCCAUCUUUAUCUAUGUCAAAUUUCUCAAAAGCAGCCUGUGACAGUUGCUGCCACUUGUCAGAGUCUUCCUCCAGUUGAUGCACGUGUAAUGUAGCCGCUACAAACUCCCGGAAAUCCACUAGGCCAUCAGUGUUGCUGUCUAUCUGCAAAUACUCGAGAUUAUUUUUGCAAGCCAAAAAGUAGAACAAAGCAACAUUAGAGGAAAAGAGUGAUUUUGGGAGACCACAUAAAUUGUCAUAGAAGUAAAGUAAUAUUAUCAAUCACCAAAUUUCAUGCCUAACAAAAUUUAGACAUUGAAUAUAGACUGAGAACCAGCAAACAAAACAAUGUGUGUUUUUUGUAAAAAGAUCAAACAUACUAACCGCUUGCAAUAUCUCUAGUACACGUGAUUCUUUCAAUUUCCAAGGAAGAUCUUUGGCAAGAGCCUGCACAAAAUCUUCCCUUUAGACUAAAGUAGGGAAAUGAUAUAUAAGGGAAUAAUUUGCUAAAUACCAAUAAGUAAGCGAUGUAUAUAGAUUUAAGUUAGUCACAAAGCCAGUAAAUUAAAUGCUACCUGUCUCAUCUCUUCCAGGCUAAUAGAACCAUUUUUGUCCACAUCUAUAGCAUCAAAUUGAUCUUUUAUAUCAGCCAACUCUUCUUCAUUAAGUGUGCUAGCCAAUGUCUGAAGGGUAAUUGUUGAAAUUAUAUAUGUUUGAUAUGUUCAUAAAACUUGUAUUCUAGCAAUAACCUUAAUUAGUAAAUCAUAAUCCUAGCCAAUUAGGGGGAAAUCAUGAUAAGAUAAAGAAGAAAUAGGGAAAUUAAUUCUAAAGGAUAAAAUAGGGAUACGGCAAGAUAUUUCCAUAUAUUCCAACAGUAAUCAAUUAUAAAAAAAGCUGGACAUCAAACAGGUUCCAUGCCUUCUAAACUGAAAAGGCUAGAAUUAAUUUCUCUUACCCUCAGUGCAAAUUGUUUCAUUCGACUAUAUUUCACAAACUGCCGCAUGUUGCUGAGGACAGAUAUAUCAAUAGGAAUCUCCAAUGCUUCACCUCCUUCUCUAACCCAUGGAUGUGCUGAAAUAUUAGGUUUAAUCAAAACAGUUCAACAUAAUGCAACACAAUUACACAUAAAAGCACUUUUGAUUACAUAUAAGAAAAAAAGAAGACAAUAAGUAUAACUUAAAUUAUUACAAAUAAUUGAGUAAUUACUUGCCAUUAAAAGACAAAUUGAUCUCAGCAAGAAAAGGUUAAAAGCAAAAUUUUAAAUGUACUCACAUUAUAGAACUACAGAAUGAGGGGUAAUUAGACAAUAGCAUUGUCUAUGACUUCAAUAUUAGGUAUCAUUAAAACUUUAUAUAAUUGCAUUAAAUACAAAGUUAAAAAUAUUCUAAGUUCUAACAAUGAAUUUAGCAUUUAAACAAGGAUGUAUGUUGAAUUCAAUAAAUUCAAUGCCUAAAAUUUAGGUUCUAUAUAGCACAAGCCUAAAUUUGAUUCGAUGACAACAACCUAAAAUUAUUAUUAUUAUUAUUUAAUAUUAUUAUCAACAUCAUCAAUUCAUCAUCAUUGUUAUUAUUAUCAUCAUCAUUACUAUUUUUAUUAACAGCCAAAUAUCACUUAAAGGCUCAAAUAACAUAAUAAACAGGUUUCCAAAUGUAAGAAAACAAGAUACAUACAUAAACCUUGAGCCGCAGUUAAUCUCGCCCGAGGAUCCUUUACUAGUAAUCUUUUCAAAAAAUCUUUUGCGGCAUUACUAAUAGUUGGCCAUGGUUUCCGAUGAAAAUCAGGCUUCUUACGUAAGACCUGCAUAUAUCAGAUCAGAUCAUAAAUUAUACACAACAACAAAAAUAAUUAAAGCAAAUUCCUUAGUAAUAACUCAAAAUCAAGUGGAGAAUUAAAGUAAAGGUCAUAGACUUAUCAUGUCAUUAAGAUACAAGAAUAGAUAACGAAUACCACAUAAAAUAGAAAAUCAGAAAAUUACACAAUAAAGUACUGUACCUCCUUGAAGAUACCAUCCUCAGUCUUAUCCCAAAAUGGGCGUCUUCCACACAACAAUAUGUAUGUAAUAACACCAAUACUCCACACAUCUGAUUGAGGACCUGACUUGCGUUUUAACACUUCAGGUGCAACAUAGUAAGCACUGCCAACAAUAUCAUGAAACUUUUUUCCUGCAUUUUUUUUCAGAUAGAGAAAAAUAAAUCUCAAAUAAAAUUACAAGAGCAUGCUUGAUAACUCAACCAAAGAAAUAGAACAAGCCUGCAACAAAAAAUGGAAGAAAAGAAAAAUAAAGAAAUUGAGCAUGAAAAUCAAGACUUUCCCUCACCAGGUUUUAUGAAAUCUGACAAACCAAAAUCUGUGGCCUUUAAAGGUGAAUCUUCUUUGAUUGAUUUAAAAAGAAAAUUCUGCAAGAAUAGGUAAAAACAUUAAUCUAUUAUAUAGCAUCUAGUAGUAUAGAUCUCAGUUCACACAAAUUUGGCAGAUAUGCAAAUGUGCUUGAUCAUACCUCUGGUUUCAUAUCCCGGUGUACCAAACCAUGUAAAUGACACUCAGCUGCAACCUUGAGCAUCUGCCUUACAACCACCGCUGAGUCUUUUUCAGUAUAACGACCGUCCUUCCUGAUUAAAGCAAAGAGGAAAUAAGUUCGGGCAGUGGCGGAACCAAGACCCUAAGUCAGUGGGUGCAAAUUAUAAAAAAUAAAAUCAGUGGGUUCACUUAUAUAAAUAUAGAUAAAAUAUAAUAUAAAAAUAUAAGAUUUUGUUUACAAAUUUAAUGAAUUUUAAAAAAUGAGGGGGUGCAAGUGCACACCCUCACUCACAUGUAGGUCCGCCACUGAGUUCUGUACACAAAAACAGCUUUCUGCCAAACACAUAAACAUAGAAUAGUACCAAAAAUCAUUGACCCUAGUUCUGCAAUUUCAACAUAGAAAUUCUGACACAUAACCAUAAUGAGUAAACCUCCACUCUAGUCCUUGAGCCCUUUAAGGGUUAGUCACUAGUCCCUGACUUUACAAAACUUUCGUUAUGGUCCCCAACUUAAUAAAAUGUUUAAUUAGCUUUAGGGGGAGGAUUGGAUUGGAUUCAAUUGGAAUUUAAAAGACUAUUUUGACGUAAAAAAAAUCUUGUGAAAUUUAAACGACUUUGUAAGAGUAUAAUGACUUUUAAGAUUUUUUUAAAAGACUUUUAUGAUUAAGAUUUUGUAAUUUGAAUUUUAAUAAAUUUAUAAAAUAUAAAUAUAUAAGAUUUGAAAGGGUAUCAUGGAAUUUUAAGAAAUAUUCAAAAUUAUUGAUAAAGAUCCAUAAAUUUUUUUCGCUUAACACUUUAAAUAAAACUCAUCUUAUACAAAGAACACUAAACUUGUUACAUAACAAAUCAAUUUUUCCCAGCAUAUUUACAAGCACAAUAGGCUCAUUCCCUUUCAAUCAUCAAUCAUGUUAAUUUUAUAAAAACUAUAUACCGCAAUGUUCCCCAACAUAACAAAUCAACUUCUCACAUUCAUUAACUAUAUAUUUCUCAUGUUCAUAUAUAUUCAAGCUCAUUUAUAUGUAUAAGCACGUUAAGAUGACCAAAUUGCAAAUACAAAAAAUUGAGAACAUCUCUCAUAUCACAUGUUCCAAGGCAUGUUAUCCAUUGGUUGAAAGAGUAAAAAAAAUUAUAAAUGUCAAUCGCUUUCAACAAAGAGACAAGGGAUUAUGUAUGAUGGGAAAAGAAAAGCAUGUCAAUUUGUAGGAAAAUAAAGUAAGAAAGUCUCAUGAAAUCUCAAGGGUUUGGGUGGGAUUAUUUUAUGUGUAUUUUCUACUAAAAAGUCUCAUAAAAUCCAUUAAAAUUCAUCCUAAAAAAGAAUCCAUUGAAAUUUGUUUACUUUUGAAUACUAGAGGACUUUUUUUAAGUUGUAAAAAAUCUUAAUUGAAUACCAACUAUUUUUAUUGAAUUCCUUAAAAAAUCUUAUAGUCUUGAUUGAAUACCAUAAGACUCAUUUUUAUUAUUUAAAAAUCUUGAUUGAAUACCUAAAGACUUAUUUAUAGAAAAAAAAUCUUUUAAAAUCUUUUGAAAUCUUAAUUGAAUACACCCCCUUGAUCCUAUAUUUCACUAGCAUUAAUGACUAAACUGAAUAAUAUUUUGUAACAUUAAGGCUUAAGCAAAGUCAGGACUGUAGUUAAAAAUGUAUAACGCAAAGGACUCUAGUAACCAAAUCUUUCAAUCUCAGGGACUAAUAGUGUGUUAGGAUUUCAGUUAGAAACCCUCAAAGGAACUUUCAACUCAAUCCUUCCUCUCACAACUUUUUCCAUUCAAUUGAAUUGGAAUGCGUGCAAACAAUAAACCAAACACACAAUUCCGUUCAACUAAAAUGUUGUGAUUUACUCCAAAAAUAGCAAUCACAUCCAAAAUCAAACAAUGCUUACUUGGCCAAUAUCCGAUCUAGCAGUUCUCCACCCUCGCACAACCUAAGAAACACAUAUAAAUACACAGAAAGUAAAUAAACCAAAAUUUGAUAGAAUUGAGCUCCCAAAGAUAAAAAUCAGAGCAACACAAACACAAAAAAGAAGCAACCUACUCCAUAACUAUGAACACAUAAGAAUCAUCUUCAAAAGCAUUAUAGAACUGAACCACAUUCUCAUGGCCGGUAAGUGCUUUCAAUAUCUUGACCUCUCGCUUAACAUCCUCAACGGCAAUAGGCAGAACCAUCUGCCACCAAAUUUAAAGCACAACUAAUUAAUAAUUCCUAAAAUUACAAACAAAACACGAUGAAUUGAAAACAUUAUAAGAUUAAGGACCAAAACGAACGCCGAUGGCAUUGACGGAAAUAAAUACCUUACUCUUCUCAAGCCUCUUAACGGCGACGCGAUCGCCAUUGGCUUUGUCAAUUCCAACGUAAGUGUAACCAAAUUGGCCGUGUCCGAGCAAUUUUCCGAGCGAGUAACGCUGAUUGAAAUCCUUCUUGUAACCGAAAUCGGUGCGCUUCCCGCACGGCACGUGGCGCGAACUUGCCGCCUUGUGCCGUUGGGGAUUCGCCUUCGCCGUCUCUGAUUUCGGCUUCUUCGUGGUCCCCCUGCGCUUUUUGUUGACGUUGACGCCAUUGCCGUUCGAGCCGCUUACUUUGGUGGCGGAAAAGCAGGCUCCCAUGGUCGGAGAGGGUCGAAAACGCCUCAAAGAUGCAAAACUAAAACACGAAUAAUGAUAAAAGAUCACAAAUUGAGAUCUUAUAUAAUUUUUUGGUAGUAGUAUCACGUAGAAAAUUGAAGAUGUCUUUCAUUUUUUAUUUAAAUAUUUAUUAAAUUAAAUUAAAUUAAUAAAACAUGUAAGGCAUUUUUUUUAUAAAUAUUAAAAAAUAGAAAAAUAAACAUAAAUUUAAUUUUUAUUUAUGAUUAAAUGUUAAACAAAUAAAAAAAUACAUAAAUUUGAUAAUAAAAAAUACACCACAUUAAUGUUAAAAAAAUAAAUUUAUUAUUAUUGCGAUUAUAAUGUUUGCAAGUAUGUUCCAUCAAGUGUGUCUAAGGUUGUUGAUGAAUUCCUCCUAUAUGCAUACUAUGUGUUGUUUGCGAGUAUGACAUUACCUAAAUGUAUCUCAUUCGUCAGCAAUAAUCAUAUUAUGCAAUAUAAUGCACACCAACAUUAUAUCAUUCGUUGUAUCCAUGUUUCAGGCACGCAAUAGACCACAUAAUUACGAAUCAAGAUUUGAGCACACCAAAUGCUCGUUACAAAUACUUUCUCAUUGCUUCUUAAUAUUUUGUAAAUAAUUUUCUUCUAGGAUCUUGUGACAUUGGUAUGAUAUUGACAAAUGUGGUUCAAUCAAGAUAAAUAUCAUCCACAAGAUAAUAUCUCAUAUUAUAUGGAGUUUCAUUAAUUGUAAAUUGUAAUGAAGGAACUUAACCUUGCUUUUCAAAAAAUUCGUUAUACACAAAAACUCAAUUCCGACGUAGGUUCUGAAUGUAGCGACAAUUUUUCAUUCGAAUUGUCAACGCUUUUACUAAUCAUAAUGAGUAUUUCCAAAUGAGGCAUGAUGUUGCUUGUAGAAUGGGUUUCUCACCAAUGCAAAAGUAACUACAACUAUUUGUAUACUGACAUAUGAAUCAUCUGCCAAUUGUGUGGGAGAGUACGUUAGAAUUGGUGAAUGCACUGCAACUCAAUGCUUACAAAAAUUUAUAAGGGGUGUCAAUAAGAUAUUUGGACAUCUUCACAAUUGCAAUUAAUAACUCUUUUAGGCCUUCUGCGUUGACUGUUGUUGCCUCUUUAUUGUUGCAUCGCAUGUAAGUAGCUCAUGAUUUGUUUAUCACUAUCCUCGUCAAGUGUUUCAUAAACAAUUUAUUUCCAAACUCUGUCGAAGUCAUUAUUUGGAUUUAUUCUAUGAAUGAUUGAUUGCAUAAACGAGUGAAAGAAAAAAGAGAAGAAGAUUGCUUGAAGAAGACGUACAAGAAUGAAUGAGAAUUGAACAAUUAAAUAACAAAUUAUACAAUGCCUAGUUUUUUAACGACUACUAAUGCAACAAUUAGUUUUGCAACGACUAGUUUUAUAACAGUGAAGUUUCACAAAGAAGAAAAAUUCAACAAAUUAAAAGACAAUUACAAAUUUAAAAAAACAAGACAAAUAAAACAUGAUUCCUAAAAAUACAAAUUAAAAGACCGUUACAACAAAUUAAUACUACAUACCUAGUUUACUCCUAAUUAUUUUACAAAAGCUUUAUGGUCUUCAAGUUGCUUUUUGGACAUUGUAGAUAUGUCCUUUAUUAGAAUGUCGUAGUACUCAUUUUCCAAUUCUUUCUCCCUUAAGUCUGCUAAUAUGGUGUUGAGUACAUUUCUUUCCCUCAUUGCUUCCUCCACAUCAAUCAACUUCAUAUGAUUGGUAGAUGUUCAUACUCUUUUCCCAUUACUCUUCCUUUUGGUUGCCUUUUGCUCCAUUAGACAGACAAUUCGAGACGGUGUGUCAGUUUCAAAAUCUUUUAUUGGAGUUUCUGGAUUAGAUAACAAUAAAUAUGCCCUAGAUGUGAAAAUCUUUGUCUUUUUAGAGCAAUUUUUAGUAAACUAGUCUAACCAUUUCGGUUGAUCUUUCAGAAGUCAUCAAAUAUGUUCUAAACCAAAAUCACUUCGUUUGUCUUCCUUCCAAAUGGCAUAUGUAUGAAGCAUGACACCAUUAUCCAUGCAACCACUUUUCUUUAAUGACAUCGUUUGUUUGUAAUGACCUUGAACUUUUGCAUGUCCAGAUUAAUUUUUUGUCAUCAUGGUUUCUAUUGAUUCAUUGCUCUUUUGCCUAGUUCACCUCGAAAUUUGUUAUAAUUUUUUGUGACUCUCAACCAAAAUGUUUCUUUUCCUUGACCAACACGAACAAUUGGAUCGUUGAGAUGUUGAGCCAUAAACUAAUAAGGUGCGUAUCUUCUUCAAUUGCAAGGUGAGUCAAUGCUUCCUUUUGCAGAAGACCCUCCUAUUUCCUCAACAACGAUAUCUUUUAGCCUAAUUUGGGUAGAAAAUUGUGAACCAACUUCAUCAUUUGAAAACAUGGUAAGAUUGUUUAGUGGGAUUAAAGGAAAUGUUUGAGAACUUUGAGAAUUUACGGAGGAAGGCAUUUAAGUGUUUGACAUAAAAUAAUUUGAUGAUGGUAGUGGGGUAAAAAAAGGAGGGGGAAAAGGGGGGGAAGCCGAUUUUGUGAAUUUCGGGUCGAAUGUGACAUGUGGUAAUUUAACAAAAAAAUUGUAUAAAUUUGCCAAUCAAAUUGAUUUGGAUCCAUUUCGCAAAAAUAAAAUUUAACUAAGAUUAAGAUUGGAGAAUUGAGAUUGAUAAAUAAAGAAUAAAAAUGAAAAUUGUAUAUAAAAUUACGUGUGUAUUGAAGCAAUUUAUAAAAUGUUAUUACCUAAUAUUGUGUGUGUAUCACCUAAACAAGUCUACAAAUUCUACUCUUUUAAAGGUAAAAUUUUGUACAAUCUAUACUACCAAUGCAGAUGUUGUCAAUAUUUACUUCUUAAAGACAUGAAAGAUCACACGUGGAAUAGAGUUUAUGAUAAGUGUAAGUGAGGCUGAAUGGAAAAAAUGAGAGGGUCAAUACAAUGAGGUGUGUUGAAAUUGAAAUUCACAUAAAUUGUCAACUCCGUGGGACUUACAUAUUUAGGGACCAUAUCGAGGAGUUUGGAAGCAGUCACACCGAAGCCAUUUAAUUUAAGAUUCAACAGAGAAAUAGAAGCAUCUCGGCUAGACAGAACCUGCAACACAAAUUUGUUAUGAUGUUGAACACUUCUAAAGUGUGUUUGUUCCAAAGGUUCUUCUCCUUCCAUCGUUUGGACAAGACACGAGUCCGAAUAACAUCUUUUACAUGGAGUAGAAGACACUCAAUCUGUCCUUCCUCUCUUGGCGUCAUCCAUUGAUGAUAUCUGAUAGGAUGGAAAACUGGUUGAUAAAAGCUCUGAAAUCUGCAGUUAGAAGCCUAUCUCGAGAUGCUAUUUUAAUUUGUAUGGGGGGAGUCAAUUGUUAUUUUCUAUGAUCAAAUAUUUUUUGUCUUAUCAUAUCAUAAUUAUCUAAAUCUUACUUAAGUUUGAAAUUUUGUUUUAAUUUUUUAUGAUAUAAAUACAGAUAUAAAUGUAGAUAUAUUUUUUCUUAAUUUUUAAGUAUGAAUAUAUUAACAAUCAAUAUCAUAAAUAUUUGAAAAAACAAUCAUUAAAUUUUUUUGUGUCAUUAAGUUUAAUGCAAGAAUAUUAUAAUAAAUUAUGAUUCAAUUUUAAAAUAAUUAUUACUAUUUUCUUUUUCAUCUAGCAUUAAAUUUUCAAAUAUCAUCUCAUCUUUUCUUUCUCAUGAACAUUAAAUUAUUAAUCAUCUUUUCUAUCUUAUAAACAUUAAAUUAGAUUAUAUAUUUAUUUAAAAAAAUAAUAUAUAUAUAUAUAUAUAUAUUAUAUGAGACUUGAGACUUUUCUUAGGCUUAAACAUUUAUGUUUCUCCUUAUUUGACCCAAAAUAAUAAAACCCAUAAUUUGUCGAUUGUGGUUUAUCGUUAAGAAUCGACGAAUUUGGGCUUGCAAGGUUGAACUUGGAUACUGCGAGGUUUGAAAUUGAGGUUUGGAAUGUCCAUGACUGUUGAUCAGUGGAGUGCUCACAGUGCUCAUAGUCAACGAUGAGCAGAAAAGGAGGAAGAGGUGAGAAAAAUUAUUUAAUAUUUUAAUAAAGUGACAAUGUUUCAUUUGUUGUCUCCAACAACUUUUUCAGAGUGUGUUCACCCAAUAGUUUCUCUUUUAUCUACUAUCUUCUUAUAUUAAAUAAUAAUAAUAAAUAUUAACAAUAAUAAAUAUUAGUAAGAAUAAAAUAAUAGUAAAUAUUAAUAAAAAUGCAUUUUAUUUAAUAUUUAUAUUUUUAUCAAUUAAAUAACUUUAAUUUAAAAUGUUCAUUUUUUACUUCAAACAAACUUUUCACUUACUUUUUAUUCUCUUUCAUUUAUUUUCAUUUUUUAUUUUGUUUUACCCAGCACCCCCUUCCCUCAACACUCUUUAUGCUUAUGUAUAAGAAAAAUAAAAAAUAUUUUGAGAAAAAUCCAUAAGAAAAAUAGGAUAUUAAGUUAAUAUUUAUUUAAUUUAUUUAUAGCAACGAAUCUAUUUUAAAUUUUACAUAUAAAAUUAAAAAUAAAUAUUUUUAUAAAAUUCAUUAUUUAUUAAAAAAUAAAUGUUUCAAUACGCAUACCAAUGCAAAUUUGUUGUACGGGUCGACAAACGACUAGACAUGGUAAGAAAAUCUGUAUCCGUGGGUAUCCGCCCGAAUCCGUCCCGACUUUGACGGGUAAUACUUGAGUUGAUCGGAUAUGGGUUCGGGUUCGGGUUUUCCCCGAUAAUCAAAAGUCGGGUACGAGUACGGGUAUGGGAUCACUGGACUCGUCCCGACCCCGAACGUGAACCCGCCCCACCACUUAAAAUCUUUAGAAUUUUUGCAUAAUUUAAUCAAAAGGCAUAUAAUUUUUAUUACUAGUUAAUUUUAUUUUAGAAUUUUUACAUAAUUAAAUAUUAUUUUCUUAACUAUUUAUGUAGACACACGCGUUAUAAUAAAUUUAUUGAUAUAUAAGUAGUUAAAAAUAAAUGUUUAAUAAUCAAUUUAUUUUUUUCUAAAAUCAAAUUUUUAAUAUUUUUUUACAAAAAAAAUAUUUUUCUAAAUGGCGUGUGAAACGGAGUUGGGGAUACCCGAUGGGUACGGGGAUGAGACAAUAAACUCAAACCCGUCAGAUAUCGAAUACUGAGAUAUAUUAAGUAAUCAGGAUAAAUGAUUGGAGAGACAAUACCCAUACUCAACCCGCCCCAUUAAUGUCUACCCGCCCCAUUAAUGUCUACAAACGACCGUUAGCGUCAAUCCAAAUAUAAUAAUUACUUGUCCUUCAUCUUCUAGAAUUUGAGAGUUGCAUUCAAUCACAUGGGGGGAGUUAGGUAUAUUCAACGGUUGAGAUUCGAGCAAUGUAGAUCUCCACAAUUUCCAUCAGAUAUGUUUCUAAGAUUAAACAUUUUUUAAAUUAAUAUUUUAAUAUUGGUAAUAAAAUUCAUGGAACAUAUUUUACACACAUGAAACAUAUAAGCUUCUUUGAUUAUUGACUUCUUCAUUACUUAUUAUUUAUGAUUUUAAUAUGAGAUUUUUUAACUCAUUUUAUUCUCACUCAUAUUUUUUUUUUGAAAAUUUCUUAAAUAAGCUUUACACCUCCACAACGAGUUUUCAAAAACUAGUGAUUGGCAUAAAAUGAGGUUAUAUAUUUCUUUUUUAAGUGUUAUAUUCAUUCACUGAAUGACUGUAAUGAUAUCCACGACCUCUUUAAGCCAUGACAUAUAAUAGGCAUAGAAAUUAUUUAAAGUAAAAUAAAUAAACAUUUAACUCAAAGUUAAUAUUAAAUUGGAAUUAGUACAUUUAAAAUAAUAUUAAAAUUAUAAAAUAUAACUUACACUUGGUAAAAUGUUCAAUAAUAGAUGGAUACGCAAUUUUUUUUCCUAACAUGAGAAUACUUUUCAUUUAAGCUCACUUCCGCCCAUAAUUGGUUUUGUGCAUAAACAGUUUUAAUAGUUAUCUCUUCUCUAUCAAACGGAUACUUAAAGAUAUGUUGACAACCGAUGUAUAUUAAAAAAUGUAUUAUUAGUUUGUUACCAUCUUUUCUUAAUAAAGGCACAAAAAUACUUUCAAAUUCGUUGUUAUGUCAAAUAUUAACUUAAAACAUUUAAGAACGUUUGAUACGCUUACAAAUGCUUCUACGCAUGACAUUAGUUUUACAAAGAAAAUUUAACUAACAAUGUCUCGUAUCACAAAAGUUAGGUGCAAAUAUAAGAAUUUGUCUGUAUAUAAAAAAAAAUAUAUAAGAAUUUGUAUUUUUUUGACAUCCUUUAAACCUAAGCACUUUUGACUGUGAUGGUAGACCAUGGAUGCAGCCAAUAAUAAAGACAGUGCCACUUAUUUUCAUUUAUAAUAGAGGCAAAUAUAAGGUAUACAUAGAUGAGCCAGCUAGCUAAUAAGACAUAGGCAACUGAACACAACACAUGAUAUCCCCACAAAGGAUAAAUCAUAAGACGUACAAAAGCACAAAGGUAAGGACUAUUAUUAAUUCAUGGCCCUUAAAAAAUACUAAAAACACCAAGGGGGCAUGCAAAUGAUACAUAUGUAAUUAUUAUUAAUUAAGCAAGAAUCUCCUUCAAAGGCUUGGCCUCAAGUUUUGCCUUCUGAUCAAGUUCUUGCAAAUGCUUUUCAUUCUCAAGGUCCUGCAAAUGCUUUUCCUUAGCCAGCUUCUUCAUCCUUGCAAUCUCAAUGUCCUUGCUCAUCUUCCUCCUGUACAUUUCAGCAAAAGUGAUUGGUUCCUCCAUCACAGGCUUCUCUCCUUCUCUUAUCUUCAGAGGGUAAACAGUUGCAUUUGGUGCUGGGUUUUGAAAAGUGGCUAUGGACAAACGGCUAUGGUUUGAGUUCACCACCGCUUGGUGAUCAGCAUUCUUGAACCUUCCAUUGCUCAGAUACUGCAUUCAUGUGCACCCACCACAAAAAAAUGAACAAAUUUAAAUUAUGAAAAACAAAGUACACGGUCAAACCAAUAGACUUGCUGCUUCAUAAAAAUAAAAUAAAUCAAUUGCUAAGCUGGCUAGUCUUUCUAAAAGCUUCUUGAACUUCCCUUCACAUCUCAAUAUUUUUAUUUUAAUUAACUAAUAAAAACAUAUCACUGGCUGAUAUAUAUAUAGUUAAUAAUAUCACUGAUAAAAAACAUAUAGGGUGGGAAAAAAAAUCCAUUUGAAUUAAAUCAUAUUAUAAUUAAAUCUAAAUUAAAUUGAUUUUUUUUGAAUUAAUUUAAGAAAAAAAAGAGUAUAUUAUUUUAUAAAAUUAAUUCAGUUAAUUUGAAUUAUUUAAAUAAAAUUGUUAAUCAAACUAGCUUUUAUUUGAAUAUUUUUUUUAUUUGAAAAAAAAUAAUUUGAAAAUCAAUUUUAAACUAAUUCAACUUUUAGAAUAAGUUAAAAAUUGGUUUAAAUCAGAAUUAAUUUUUUAAAAUCAUUUUUGAUUUUGAACACAUCUUUAAAUUAAUUUAACUAUUUUAAUAUAAAAUCGAAUAGGAUAAAACAAUUUAAAAACAACUGGAUUAGAUUUUAUUUUUUUUACGAAAGUAAUUUUUACACAUCCUAUUUUGUAGUAAAUUGAGAACGGAAUAAAGGCCAUAAAAUGAAAAUGAAUGAAUUGCACACUGACAUGAGCAUGAUCUCCAAGAUUGACGACGAAGGCAGCCUCCACAGGCUGAACGGUGAUCCAUGUUUUGCCAUUGUCCCUGGUGGCUUGAAGUCCACCCACUUGGUCCUGAAGCAGCAAGGUGAUAGUGCCCGGAUCCGUGUGGCGCUUCAGGCCAAGAGUGAGGUCAGGUUGAGGGCAUUUGGGGUAGUAAUUAACCACCACCUUCUGGUCCAUGUCAACACAUGCUUUGCUUAAACCCUCUUUCUCUAACCCCAUUGCUUCGGACAACACCUCCAUGAGCUUGCAAGCUAGACCCAUUACUUUGUCGCUGUAUUCCUCAGUCACCGAUCUCCACCCUUCUGGCGUGUCUGGCCACCUUGAAUAGUCCCUCUCUCUUUUUGGGUACGAAAAGUAUGUCACUAUUUCUCUCCAGUCCUGCACCGAUUCCCCCUGUCAUCACAUGUUAAUUAAUUUAAUGCUCUGGUUGGAUCAUGCACUUUCUAGAGGUGUGUCUACAUUUGAGGAAAUAGGCAAUAAUGCACCACUAUAAAUCAUAAUCAUAAUGUAUUCAAUCAAAUAUAUAAAUUGAAGUACUCUACUUAUGUCACCAAAAGGAAAAACAUAUAAUCACGAGAAUUCUGUCAAGAAAGGCUUAAAGUAAGAAGGCUUCUGGGGUGGAGGGCGUCAAGAAAUCCCCCACCAUGGGAAACAAACAAACCUAUGGCUGAACAUAGUUACACGCGCACAGCAAAAAAUAUAUGGUCUUUAACUCUGUACAAUUUUUUAACUGUUUCGUCGGUACAUUUAUUUGCAAAUUAAAUGCAAUUUAUUAUAUUUUCUAAAAUAAGGUUGUGCUUUCCUUUCUUUUUGAAAAACUACUUUAAAAUAAAAAUUAAAAUGAAAAGUUUUUAAAAAAUAAUAUUUUUAUUAACUUAAAAGAUAAUUUAAGGGAUAAUACGAAGAGAAGAAGGAGACAGUUCAAAAAGAGAUGAAAAUUUAGCUGUGCCUUCAACUAUUUUUUUUUAAAAUAAUUUUCUUACAAAAUUAAACUGCUCAUUUUUUAAAAAAAGUUUUUAGAAAUCUGUUUGUGUCCUACACGAAGUCAACAAAUAAAUUAGGCCAACCAGUGCCUAAGUUUAGGUAUACUUUAAUGCAUGCAAGAGCUCUUAUAAUAGCAAUUCAAUUCACUACAAUACGAAUUUUCCGUAAGACUUGAUUGGGAAUAAUGGUGUUGCCGUGUUGGCAUGUUAUGGGUGGUGAAUGAUAUUUAAUUAAUUAAUUUUAAUUGACAGUAAAAUCGCUCGCAUCAUUCCAUUCGUCUCAAAUUUCUACCAUCCACUUUUCCCCUUUCUUAUUAAAAUACAUCUUACUAUAUUCGGGUGUUUCCGUGGAAGGAACAGAUAAGUAGAAAGAAUAGAAAACAGGGAAAAAGAUUCACACAAUAAAACCGAAAACAAAAUAUAGGAAAAAUGAAGUGACAAUAUAUCUAUGAGAGAGAAAAAAAUGAAAAAUCUAAACUUUCAUCUCAAAAUAAAAUAAAUUAGGAUGAAUGAAGAAAAAUUUAAAAAUAAAUCAUGGUAUAAAAAAAGAUGAUGAAAAGUUGUUUGUAAAAAUUUAAGGAAAAGUAAUUUCAAAUGCAUAAUUAUUUAAAAGUGUUAGCAAUUCGUUAAAUAAUUAAGAAAUGAGUCACUAACUUUUAUGAUAGUAAUUAAGAGAUAUUGAUAUCUAACAUUAAGUAAGCAUUCUAUAUCUCUUUCUGUAACUUUAAAAAUCUUCUCUUUUUUAUUUUUUGUAAAGAAAAUAAACAUGUAAUAUUGAAGAAUUAAUGUUUACUUGGAGAUGGCUGGAGACAAUGAAUCCACCCUUUUUGGCGCCGGACAUAUCAAAACGAAGCUUCUCGUCCGGUGGCAAAGCAAAGAACUCUUUGGCGAGACGGGUCAUCUCGGCCACGAGUUGUUGAUCCACACCGUGAUCAACAACCUGGAAUAUACCCCAAUUCUCGCAAGCCUCCACGAUCUUCUCACAAAUCUCUCUUCUGCGUCCAUCCACCUCGUCGAUUCCGGCAAGAGAAAUCACUGGGAUCUCGUCGCUGAAUUCGUUGUAGGCAACCUUGGGACGCUCCUCCUCGUCCCGAACGAAGCUCGAUUCUAGGGUUUUCUCCUGGGCCAGGUAAGUCAGAGUCUUGGCUGUUGGUGCCAUUGUUGUCUUUGAGGAGAAUGUGCGUGUACGUAGUGGAAUUAAAUAGCAGAAUGCAAUGCUUCAAGUUUGAAGGAUGGGUAAGAGAAUGGAAGAUUGGGUGGUGUUUUAUAGCGUGGCAUAGAGUGGUAGCUCUUACUUAAUUACUACCUACGUGUUCCGAUGCAUUCCGCUCAACUCUACAUGUCCCUUUCACGUUGUUACCUAACUUUCUUCGCAUCUUCUUUUCUCCCUACCCAAGUCAUUAAAUACAUGAAAUUAAAUAUGUUUUUUUUAUUUUAUCAUAUUAAUUUAACUAAAAUGCACCUCUCAUGAAAUUAAUAUUUUUUUUUCUGAUUGUAAACAAACAUGAAUUCAUCACUUCUACUUUUUUAAAAAUUCUAAAAAUUAAUGACUAAAUCAUUUUAUACCAAAAUCACUUUUUUUUUUAAUAAAAACUUAAACAAACUGUUCUGUAUCUAAAUUCAUAUCCGAAUAGUUAAAGGAAUGUAUCAUAAUUAAAUUCAUUUUUAAAUUUUAAUUUAUUUUAGAAAAUAUUAUUUUCUUAUCUAGAAAUUUAAAAGCUCAAGAUAUAAUAUUCAAAUUUUACUAUAUUAAUUCUCAAUAUUAAUUAUGUGGCCUAUUUAUUAUAGAAUUGAAGAGAAAGAAAUAAUAAUAAUAAUAAACUAAAAAAUAUUAUUAAAAAUUAAUAUUAAUUUUAUGUUCAUUUUAGUUAUGAGGAUUGUUUGUCUUUCGAAGGAGAGUGAGUUGCUUAACAUUGGUAGGCAAAGCUUGUAAUAUAGACUUUGCAAGAGUCAGUCUCCCAGCAAAAGAUAACGUAUUAGCCUUCCACGCAUUAAGUUUUUGGUGAACUUUGUCAAUAAAAAAUUGGAAAGUCGAUUUAGAAGGCCUUUUAUGAAAAAUAGGCACUCCUAAAAUACUUUCCAAGAUUCCUCGUCAAUUCAAUUUCCACCUUUGAGCUCAGUUGUUGUUUUAAGUCACCCCCCUCCCCUCACAUUCUUAGAGAAGAACAUGGAAGAUUUAUCAAGACUAAUCUUUUGUCUGAAGCUCUAAAAAGAUUCAUAAUAUUAUGAAUAAAGUGGACCUGAUCAAGAAAAGCCUAAAAUAAAGGAUCAGAUCAUCUGCAAAGGCAAAAUGAUAUAUGGGAUCAUUAUGUUUGCUCAAAGAAAUAGGACUAUAGAAACAAAUAACAGAAGAAUGGAUUUGAAUUGUGCUUUUAGAAAUUUUAACUUUACUUUGAUAAAAAAAUAUGUUUAUCGUCUAAUGUGGAUUUUAUUGAAAGCAUAUAAGAGAUCUUUUUGAGAAAAUUUCUAUCAGAUGACAGAAAAAUAAUUUUUUUAAUAAAUAUAAGAAUUAAAAAUAAAUUCAAAAUUCUUUUUCAGUCAACAAAAAAAAGUAGUAAAGAAUAACACAAGAAGUUAUAUUGAUUAGUCUCUAUCCCAAGUUCAGUUCUUAGCAAUCCACGAGGUUUUCACUAAUUUAUCAAAAAUUAUAAAGUAUUUUUCAUUGUCACUUCUAUCUUUUACACAUGCAAACUUUACCUCAAGCUUAAAUUUAACCUAGUAUUUUGUGUCAUACGAGGUCUUUGCUAACUUUAGACAAAUCAACAAGAUUUGUUGGAAGUUUGCACAAUGACUAAUACGUGAUCAUCUUACAACAGAUAUAUCACUCAAUACUUUUGUCUUUUCUCUUAAGGUUUACAAGGUGUUUUAAGACCUUAAUAUCUAUACAAAAAAUAUUUUACAAGAAAAAAUGAAUGAAUAAUUCGUAAUUAGGUUCAUGACUUGUUUUUUCUUCAAAGCUUCUUCUGUAUAUAACCUUCAUCUUCGAGUAUCAGUUGUCUCACAACAAUCACUUUGUUUUUCUUCUGAAGUCUUGAGUCUGUUAGAGCAUGUCCACAUUAAAUGCACGUCUCUUUUUCAUGCAAAGAUCACGUUGGUAGACUAGUGUGUCUUGUACUUCAGCAGAAGAGUCACUUAUUUCAUUAUAGCAGGUCUACACCAAUAGAGCACGUUUAAUGAGGAUCAACGCUUCCAAACUGUGAACUGUACUUAUUCUUCAUAGGAUUUUGAUAGAUUCUAGGAGAAUAUUUUCUACAUGAAAGAAUCUCUAAUACAAAGUAUUAAAUGAAAGUCUUAAAUGCAUUACUUAAAUGUUAUGUCAAAUUGUCUUAUGAUUGUAUCGUUUAAAAAAAAAAACAAACACAAAGAUGUAGACCUUGAUUUAUUAGCACAUCAUACAACUUUAAUCAUUUGUAUUUAUUUGCAUCUAAUCAAAAUAAUCAAGAGUCUUAAUUCGUUUUAAGACAUAAAUGCCUUUUGACUUACAAGGACUCUACACUCCUUGAUCGACUACAAUAGAGAUCAAUGAGAAAAGUCAUUCAAUGCAAAGCACAAAUAAAUAUGGAAAGAAUGAAUCCCCUUGUCUAAUGCCUCUGAUGGGACAAAAUUCCUCUAGGGCUUCACCAUUAAUAUUCUAAAGAAUUCUCAUGGAAGCUAUAGCCAUACAACAACCAAUAAUUUUCUUAGAAAUCCCAACAUCAUGUAAUGUAUCCCUCUCAAAAUCCCUCUUUAGUCUAUCAUAGGCUUCUUCAAAUCAAGUUUAAUAGUCACCCAAACCUUUCUUACCUCCCUUGUUGGUCAUAGAGUGGAAAAUCUCUCGAGUCACAAUGUUAUUAUUCCCACUCGGGCUAUUAGACACAAAAUUAGAUUGGAAUAACCCUACCAACUUUCCCAUGACUGGUUUAAGUCUUUGAGAAAUGAGACGAGUUAGAGCUUUGUAAACUACAUUACACAAAUUUAGAAGUAUUCACGAAUACGAGUCAUUUAUGAAUUUGAAUUGAUCCAAUCUGAAUAGUUUAGGUCAAUUUAUGCUUCGAACAUUUGUUUAUUUUGGAAAAUAAUAAUUAUUACAAAUAAAGAAUACUGAAUGUAUUUUGUAUUUCAAAUAAUUUUUUCUUUUAUGCAUUAAGUACGUAUAUUAAAUUAUAUAUGUAUAAUUAAUAUGCUUGAUAUAACAAAUAUAAAAAAGUUGUUUUAAUUUAAUAUUAAAUUUAUUUAUUUAUUAUUAUUGUCUUUAAUUAUUUAAUAUUAACAAAAUUAUUAUAAAGAAAUUACUCAAGAAUACAGUGAGAAACUCUUUUUGCAGGUUCCAUCAUGUAUUUAGAUUUUAAGAACCGGUGAACAAGUCGCCGUCCUUUUAAUUAAUAGCAUGUUACAUUCUGUUUCAUAUAAAACCAAAUGAUCCGCUGGUGGACCAUUAAAAAGUUCUUAUUUUAAUAUAUACACAAUUUUGGAAUGACAUUUUAACUUAGGUCAACUUCAAUUGUGGAUUGACAUUUUUAACAAAAAAAAAGAAAAUGAUAUUUUUGGAAUAACGAUUUCGACGAUCAUCAACCUCCAAGUCCACCACUAGUUCUCUUCUUGGAUGUUUCAGCCGCAAUUACUUGAAUCCCUACCACCUCAAUUUUUUUUUAUUGGUCUAAAUUAACUACCUGCAUGCAUGUUUUCUUCUUCAACCAUAAAAUGAUACAAAUAUUUUAGUCCCGAAAACGCACGGCUAUAUAAAGUAGGUUUAUAUAUAUCUUGACAAAUUAUCAACUUGUAAUAAUCGAUUUCAACUGUCAAAAGAUUCAUUUGUAUAGAACAAAACCAAAACAAUACUACUAACGAACAAUUUGACUAGCAAAUAAUUAAAUAUUAACUCAAAAUUCAUUAACAUUCAGCCGAAGUACAUUUAUUUCCGAAGCAAGUCCAUUUUGGUAAAACGCCCUAAACUAAGGACAUUUGGGAACUUGAUUGCGGGUGGUGAGAUUGGCGUAGCAAGGACAAGAAUCUAGGUUUACGUAAGUGCCAGGAGCGACACACUUCCACACCGCACAGCAACUCCCACAUGCCCUCUUGCACAAACUUGGCCUUGAUGACAGCUUACACCUUCCUUCACAAGCUACUCCACAAUCUACCCAUGUACUUGCAUGAUGAAUAAGUUUGUUUAAAUUUAUUUGUUUUAAAAAAUAUUUAUUUUAAUAAAAUAAGUAGUUUUUUUUUUGUUUUUAUUAAUGCGUUUAUUUAAAUUACUUUUGAUUAAAAAAAUAACUUUUUGUUUAUUUUAAAAAGUAUAUCCUAUCUACUUCUUAAAAAUAUGUUUAUAUAAAAAAUUCUUAUUUAAAGUUUUUUUUUAAGUUUAAAAAAAUUCAUUUUUUUUGCUAAAUACAAACUCAUCCUAUAUAUCUAUUAAUUGAGGCUAGUUAAAAGAAAAAAGUUAAAUAUUUGAGGUAUGUUUUUUUAAUCUCUUAAAUUAAAAUGUUUUUUUUACUGUCUCAAAUUUGCAAAAUAUUUUUUUUAUAGUAUCCCUUGACUUUUUUUUUUUACAAUUUAAAUACAUAAUUUGUGAUGGUUUUUAAGUGCAAUAAGAAGAACUUAAAAAAAAGACUAAAAGAUAUUUAACAAAUUUCAGAUAUUAAAAAAGGAUAGACUAUUAAUUAAUUAUUUUUACAAGAGAGACUUAUUAAAUUUAAAAGAGUAAAAACAUAUUUAAGAAUUAAAAAAAAACAUUAAUUAUACACCACUAACUAUACAUCAGAAAAAUUAAUGUGGUAAAAGUAAAUAACCGUAGACUCUCACCUAUUAUUAGUUAAAAACCGUGCAUGUGAAGGUCAAACAAAAUAGUUCUUAGGGGGAUGCUAUUAUUUAAAAGGACAAUGCUAUAAUUUAUUUAGUUAGGGGGAUGCUAAUUUACCGUCUGGUGUGCAUCUGCCACAUGAAGAAGGACUUUUUAUAUUAAAUGAGAAAUUUAAGAAAAAAAAUUGUAAUCUUCUUUCAUAUGUAUCCUUUUAGUUAAUUUAUUACCAUCUUUUCUUAAUAAAGGCACAAAAAUACUUUCAAAUUCGUUGUUAUGUCAAAUAUAUAUUAACUUAAAACAUUUAAGAAGGUUUGAUACGCUUACAAAUGCUUCUACGCAUGCAUGACAUUAAUUUUAGAGAAAAUUUAACUAACAAUGUCUUGUAUCACAAAAGUUAGGUGCAUAUAUAAGAAUUUGUCUGUAUAAAAAAAUAUACAAGAAUUUGUAUUUUUUUGACAUCCAAAACCUAAGCACUUUUGACUGUAAUGGUAGACCAUGCAGCCAAUAAUUAAGACAGUGCCAGUUAUUUUCAUUUAUAAUAGAGGCAAAUAUAAGGUAUACAUAGAUAAGCUAGCUAGCUAAUAUGACACAGGCAACUGAACACAACACAUGAUAUCCCCACAAAGGAUAAACCAUAAGAUGUACAAAAGCACAAAGUUAAGGGUUAUUAUUAAUUCACGGCCCUUAAAAAACACUAAAAACACCAAGGGGGCAUGCAAAUGAUACAUAUGUAAUUAUUAUUAAUUAAGCAAGAAUCUCCUUCAAAGGCUUGGCCUCAAGUUUUGCCUUCUGAUCAAGUUCUUGCAAAUGCUUUUCGUUCUCAAGGUCCUGCAAAUGAUUUUCCUUAGCCAGCUUCUUCAUCCUUGCAAUCUCAAGGUCCUUGCUCAUCUUCCUCCUGUACAUUUCAGCAAAAGUGAUUGGUUCCUCCAUCACAGGCUUCUCUCCCUCUCUUAUCUUCAGAGGGUAAACAGUUGCAUUUGGUGCUGGGUUUU
rnacentral:lncRNA from 1 species